rnacentral:lncRNA from 1 species
GUGCUUAUUUCACUGUCUAACCCUGCCCAGGCCCCGGGGAGAAGCCUGGUAUUCUUCGUGUUUAUUUAAUUGUCAACUCUCUGUGUUCUAAGACGAUACCCUGGCCUUGACUCAGUACAACCUAGGACUGUAAGUCCCAUCAUGUCUAUGGACUUCAGUUUCCAGACAUGAAACACAAGAGGCUUGGACGAGAUUAGAAAUCAAGAACUCGAAUGCGUAUGGUCAGAGCCACGAGAGUUUCCAUAAAGGAACACAACCAUGUGGACAACUUGAUUAUGCCCUACAAAACUCCAUCCAUGUAUGAUGUGACUUGCUCCUACAUGCCUUCCACCAUGAUUAUGAGGCCUCCUGAGCCAUGUGGAACUGUAAGUCUGUUAAACCUCUUUUUCUUCCCAGUCUUGGGUAUGUCUUUAUCAGCAGUGUGAAAAUGGACUAAUACAAGAUAUAUUAAAGAAUACUCAACAUCACUAAUCAUCAGGGAAAUGCAAAUCAAAAUUACGAGAUAGCACCUCACUCCAGUCAGAAUGGCUAUGGCUACUAUAAAAAAUUAUGUCACUUUUGAUCUGUAGCCAUUAUAUUUAAAAGUUUCAUCAAUUCUAAGAUGCAUGUUUAUAAAAAAUCAAUCUCUCUGAAAUCAGGAGUAUUUAAUAAUUGGAGACAUUAAAUUAAAGAAAAUGCUAUGUAUCUUAUUAUUUUAAAGACAGCAUCAGAAUUCCCCAGGGGUUAAAUUUGUAACAUCAUGUCCAUGUGUAAUUUUAAAUUUAUCCAAUAAGAAUAAGAUGGUUGAUUGAAGGUGCUUAAUGCUUAUUCCCAUCCUCACAAAAAUGGACCAAAACAGUAAACAAAUAACUACAUUUUGACCAGAGUGACUAAAGGAGAGUGCUGAAGUAUAGCAAGGGAGUGGCAGAAACUCUGUGUGGCAUGGAAACUCAGGAUGGCUUCAUAGAAAAGGGGUUGAAACACCUUGCUUCUGCCAGCCCAUUCCCCGAGUUGGGAUCAACUCAGAAACCAGGAGGGCCUUCUCUCUCUAAGGAAGAGGUAAGCAAGAGGCCCUGAGAGACCCUCAUCACCACCACAGGCAUUUGCAGUCUUCACUACUGGAGAAGCCUACAGUCCUCACAGGCACUGAGUCCAGUUUAGGGAGCUGCCUGGAGUUCAUACAGCUGCAUUACUCCAGGGGAGGAGCCCACAUUGUGCCCUGCUCCUUGUUUUCCAACCUCCUACUGCAAGGUUCCAUUUUCAAACCACAGCCCCUCUUAGAGUGUACCCUGCUCCAGGGACUAGUAGCCAUUGCAUCCCUCCAUCCCAGAGAUUCUGCUGUUAUGGCUUCACAUAGACACACAGUACUGCACCACAUUCUCCAGCUAUACUGCCCAGGAAUCACUCUACCUCCCCCAUCCCUGUUGCUGCUGCACCUCAACCUGCUACUUGAAACCACAGGCCCAGCAAAGAAACUGUGCUCCAAGUGCCCAAACCAAUUCAGUUCCCUGUUCCGCAGGAAUCAGAGCUUCAGCAUAGGGAAGCAGCCAUGACCCCAGCAUCGAAGCCCAUGCUGUGCCUUGCCCUUAGGAGACCAGGUGCUCUCAUCUAGUGGAAAAGCUGUACCUAAGCCUGUGGAGCAGUCAAGGCCCCUCAGCUUUAACCAAUCUGAUUCCCCACCCCCAGGGAAUCGCAGUUUUGGCCCUGAGAGCAGCUGAAAGCCUGACACUCAAGCCCAUAUGGAACCUUGUUCCCUGGAAACCAGAUGCACGUGCCUUUCAGAGUAGCUGUGCCCUCAGCACUUGAAGCAACCCAGUACCUUGCCUCUCUGAAUCAGAGCUUCAGCCCAGGGGAGUAGCUGUGACACUGGCGCUUGAGCCCAUAUAGCAUCAGACCUCUCAGAUAUCCAGAGCCUGGUCCAGAAGAGCUGGACCAGGUACCCCCUGGCACCUGAGUGAUGUGGUGCCUUACACUCAGGGAAACAGAGCCUUGGAUGAGCUGUGCCACCCCACUGUCUGGGCUGAACAGCUGCAGUGGCCUGCUUCCAUGAAUCUGGACUAUCCCACUGAAGUCUGAGUGGUUGAGUUAGGCCAUAAUUACACUGCUUCUUACCCUCUGGAGUUCAAGUCACUGCUGUACCCUGCCAUUCCUGGGUCCUUUCUAUCAUCACACUUGGCAUCACAAAGUUUGAGCCAGUGCUGUAUCCUACCACUCCAGUGUCCAGAGUCACCACUGUGUGGUGUAAUUUCUCCUGUUGCUCGAGUUACCACUGUGCCCUGUUGUAUCUUGGAGCCCAAAUUGCAGCUGUUCCCUGCUUUAAGGAACACAAUAAUGCUCUAGUAACUAACCUCAAAGAAAUGAAAAUCUAUGAAUUAUUUGAAAAGGAAUUUGAAACAAUGCUUUAAGGAUACUCAGUAAGAUACAGGAGAAUACAGAUAGACAAUUUAAUGAAAUUAGAAAAACAAUUCAUAAUAAAAAUGAAAAAUUCAACAAAAAGAUGUUAUAGAAAAGAACCAACAGAGAUCUUGGAGCUGAGGAACACUAUGAAUGAAAUAGAAAAAAACGAUUGAGAGUCACAGUAAAUUACAUAAAGGAGAAGGAAGAAUCUUUGAACUUGAAGACAGGUCUUUCGAAAUCAACUAAUCCAUGGAAAAAAACAAGUUUAAAAAAAGAGUGAAGAAAGCCUAUAGGACUUAUGGGAUACCAUUAAGCAAACAAAGAUUUGCAUUAUGGGAAUUCCAGAGUACAAAGAGAUGGUGAAGGUCACAGAAACAUUAUUUAACAAAAUAAUUAUGGAAAACUUCUCAAGUCUUGGAAGCGAUUUGGGUAUCCAGAUCCAUUUGGCUCAAACCACAAACAGGUUCAACUCAAAGAGGUCCAUAUUGAGGCACAUUAUAAUCAAAAUGUCAAAAGUCAAAGACAAAGAAAAAUUUAAAAGCAACAAGAGAAUAUCAUUAAAUGACAGAGAAGAAAAUCUCCUUUAGUCUAUCCACAGAUUUCUCAGCAGAAACUUUUCAGGCCAGGAGAAAAUGGGAUGAUAUAUUCAAAAUGCUGAAAGAAAAAUCUGCCAGUCAAGAAUACUCUAUCUAGUAAAACUGUCCUACAGAAAUGAAGGAGAAAUAAAGUAUUUCCUAGACAAACAAAAGUUGAGGGAAUUCAUUACCACUAGAACUGCCUUACAUGAUAUGCCUAAGGGAGUGUUUCAACCAGAAAUGAAAGCAUGAUAAUUACUAAUAUGAAAAUGUAUGAAAUAAAACUCAUUGGCAGAGGUAAAUUCAUAAUCAAAUUCAAAAUGCUCUGUGACAGAAAUGGUGGUGGGUAAAUCUUUCAAAUCUCUAGUAUGAAGGUUAAAAGUCAAAAUGGUAAAAAUAAGUAACUAUAGUUACCAUAAGUUGCUAAGGAAUAUACAAUACAAAAGAAUGCAAAUUGUGGUAACCCUAUUAUAAAUCAUAAUGAGGAGGAUAAAAUAUUUGAUGUGACCCAAAUUAAGUUGUUAUCAGCUAAAAAUAGCUUAUUGUAAGUAUAAGAUAUUUUAUGUAAACCCCAUGAUAACUACAAAGCAAAAAACUACAGCACAUACACGAACAAGAAAGAGAAAAAAAAAAAUAAAAAUUAGCACUACAGAAAAUCACCAAAUCACCAAGGUGAACAAUAAGAGAGGAAGAAAGAAAAGUGAUCUAACAAUGUCAACAAAAUGGCAGCAAUAAAUCCUUACCUAUCAUUAAAAAACUUAAAUGUAAAUAGAUUAAACUCUCUUAUUAGAAGACAAAAAAGUGGCUGAAUGGAUUUAAAAAAAGAAGAUGCAACUAUAUUGUGCUUACAAGAGACCAUUUUUGUUUUAAGGAUAAAUAAAGUUUGAAAGUGAGAUAGAAGAAGAUAUUACAGGCCACUAGUAACUAGAAAAAAGCUGAGGUGGUUUUAUUUAUAUCAGUUAAAAUAGACAUUAAGUCAAGAACUGUUAUAACAGACAAAAGGGUCAUUAUUUAAUAAUAAAGGAGUCAACUCAUCAAGAAGACAAUUUAUAAUUUGUAAUCACAAUAUUUACAAUUUUCAUAAUUAUAAAUGUAGAUGCACUCAACAUAAAAUCACAUAAAUAUAUAAAGCGAAUUUUAAUGAACAUGAGGGAAGAAAUAGAUAGCAAUACAAUAAUACUAGGGUACUUUAAUAUCCCACUUUCAAUAAUGGAUAGAUCAGCUGGACAGAAGGUUCACAAGGAAAUUCUGGAACGGAACUGAACUUUACACCAAUUGGACCUUAGAGACACAUAUAGAGUUUUUCAUCUGACAGUAGCAGAAUAUAUAUUCUUCUUUAACAUUCAUGAGAUGUACUUCAGUAUACACCAUAUGUUAGGCCACGAAACAAGUCUUAGCAAAUUAAAAGAUAUUGAAAUUAUAUCUAGUAUUGUCUCCAACCAGAAUAGUACCAUUGUAGUUUCAUAGUGGAAAUCAGCAACAGGAAGAAUCUUGGAAAAUUUACAAAUAUGUGGAAAUUAAACAACAUGCUUCUGAAAAACCAAGGUUAAAGAAAAAAAAUAAGAGAAAACUUAAAAAAUUUCUUGAGACAAAUGGCAAUGGAAGCACAACAUAUCCCAACCUAUGGGAUACAGCAACAGCAAAAGCAAUUCUAAGAGGGAAGUUGAUAGCAAUAAGUGCCUACAUUAAAAAUGAAGAAAUAUCCCCAAAACAUAGCCCAACAUUAUGCUUCAAGGGGCUAGAAAAAGAACAAACUAAACCCAAAGUUAGUAGAAGGAAAUAAAUAAUAAAGAUCAGAGAAAAAAAUAAAUCAAAUAGAAAACAGAAAACUACAGAAAAAAAUCAAUAAAAUCAAGAGUUGGAUUUUUGAGAAAUUAAACAAAAUAAUCAAAUCUGUCAACUAAGAAAAAAAAGAGAGAAGACUCAAAAAAUAAAAUUAGAAAUGAAAGUGGAGACAUUAUAACAGAUAUAUCAGAAAUAAAAAGGGUCAUAAGGGACUAUUAUGAACAAUUCUAUGCCAACAAAUAGAAUAAACUAGACGACAUUGAUAAAUUUCUAGAAAAAUAUAACCUACCAAGUUUGAGUCAGGAAGUAAUAGAAAGUUUGAGUAAAUCAAUAACAAAUAAAGAGAUGGAAGAGUUUAAAACCUAUAAGCCCAAGACCAGGUGGCUUUUUGGUUGAAUUCUACCAAAAAUUCAAAGAAGCAUCAUCAUCAGUACUUCUUAAAUGUAUGCAAAAAAUAGAGCUAGCAGAAAUACUUCCAAACACAUUUUCGAAGCCAGCAUCACUUUGCUACUUAAACCAGAAAAAGAUACCACAAGAGAACAAAACUACAGGCCAAUAUCUCUGAUGAUCUUUGAUGCAAACAUCUUCAAUAAAAUAUUAGCAAACCGAAUUCAAGAACACAUCAAGAAGAUUACACAUCAUGGCCAAGUGAGAUUUAUCUCUGCCAUGCAAAGCUUUUUUAAAAAUUAAUCAAUAUGAUAUAAAAUUAAAUCAAUGUGAUUUAUCAUAUUAACAGAAUGCAAGAAAAUACGUGAUCAUCUCAAGUGACACAGAGAAAAGCAUUUGACAAAAGUUCAGCAUUCUUUCUUCAUAAAAACUCUUAACAGUUUAGAUACAGAAAGUUUCUCAACAUAACAAAGGUCAUUUAUGAAAUAUCCACAGAUAACAUCAUAUCAGUGGGGAACAAGUGAAAGUUUUCUACUAAGAUCCAGUUCAAGGUAGGAAUGCACACCUUUACCACUUCUAUUCAAUAUAGUACUGCAAGUACAAUACAAUACUGCAAGAGCAAUCAGAGAAGAAGAAAAAAUAAAGGCAUCCAGACUGAGAAGAAAGAAAUAAGAUUAUCUGUAUUUGCAGAUGACAUAAUUGUAUUGUAGAAAUCCCUAAAUAUUUCACAAAAAAACCACACUAUGACAAAUAAAGAUAUUCAGUAAAGUUGCAGGAUACAAAAGGAACAUACAAAAAUCAUUAGCAUUUCUAUACACCAAUAGAAAUGUAGCUGAAAAAAAAAAUCAAGAAAACAAUUUCAUUUAGAAUAGCAUAAAAAAUACCAAAGGGGUGAAACAUUUAUAUAAUGAAAAUUAUAAAACUUAAAUGAAAGAAAUUGAAGAAGACACAAAAAUUGGAAAGAUAACAUGUGCUCAUGGAUUGGAAGAAGUAAAAUUGUUAAAAUGUCCUGCUACCCCAAAUCAGUAUGCAGAUGUAACACAAUCCCUAUCAAAAUUCCAAUGGCAUUCUUCAUAGAGAUAGCAAAAACAAUAGAAAUAGAAAUAGAGAAACAAUUUUAAAAUUUAUAUAGAACCACAAAAAACCAGACUAGCCAAAAUAAAACAAAGACAAAGUUGGAAGCAUCAAGCAUCGCACAUCCUGAUUUAAAGUUAUAUUCCAAAGCUAUAGUAAUCAAAAUAGUAUGAUACUAGCAUUAAAACAGAACCAUAGACCCAAGAAACAGGAUAGAAAGCCCACAGAUAAAUUCAAACAUAUAUGAUCGACUGAUUUUCAACAAGGGCACCAAGAGAACACAAUGGGAAAAGGAUAGUUUCCUCAGUAAAAGGUGCUGUGAAAACUUGAUUUCCACAUGCAAAAUGAUAAAAUUGGACACAAUUUUACACCUAUGUAAAAAUCAACUCAAAAUGAAUGAAAGGCCUAAGUGUUAGACCUGAAAUCAUAAAACCAUAAAACUCCUAGAAGAGAACAUCACGUGAAAUCUCCUUGACAUUGCCUGACAAUGACUUUUUGGAUAUCACAUCAAAAGCUCAGGCUACAAAAGCAAAAUGAUAAUAAAUGACCAUUACUGGUUUAUGUGUUUACUAUACUAUAAAUUAUUAUUUUAGAGUGUACUUUUUCUAUUUAUUAAAAACAAUGUUAAUUGUAAAACAGUAUCAGGCAGGUCCUUCAGGAAGUACCCAGAAGAAGGCAUUGUUGUCAUGGGAGAUGAGAGCAUAUGUGUUAUUGAUGCUGAAGGCCUUCCAGUGGGACAAGAUGUGGAGGCAGGAGACAGUGAUAUGGAUGAUCUUGACCCUGAGUAGGCCUAGCCUAAUAUGUAUGUUUAUGUCUUCGUUUUUAACAAGAAAAUUUAAAAGUAAAAAAGUAAAAUAAUUUUAACAUAGAACAAAGCUAAUAGCAUAGGGAUAAAAAUAGAAAAUAUUUUUGUACAGCUGUACAAUGUGCUUUUGUUUUAAGCUAAGUGUUAUUAUAAAAGAGUCAAACAGAUAAAAACCAUUAACAAGUUUAUAAAGUAAAAAUGUUACAGUAAGUAGGGUAAGUUUAUAAUUGAAGAAAGAAAAUGUAAAAAUAAGUUUAGUGUAGCCCAAGUGUACAGUGUUUAUAAAGUCUACAGUAGUGUACAGUAAUGUCCUAGUCCUUCACAUUCACUCAUUGCUCACUCAGUGACUCACCCAGAUCAGCUUCUAGUUCAGCAAGCUCCAUUCAUGGUAAGUGCUCUAUAUAGGUGUACCACUUAUUAUCUUUUAUACCAUGUUUUUACUGUACCUUUUCUAUGUUUAGAUAUACAAACACUUAUCCUUACGUUACAUUUGAUUACAGUAUUUUACUACAAUAACAUCCUAUACAGGUUUAUAGUGUAGAAACAAUAGGCUAUACCAUGUAACCUAAAUAUGUAGUAGCAUAUGGCAUCAGGUUUGUGUAAGUGCACUCUAUGGUGUUCAAAAAACAACAAAAUUACCUAACAGUGCAUUUCUCAGAAUGUGUCCACAUCAUUAGGUGAUGUAUGACUGUAUUUAAAAAGGUGCUCCGUACCACCAUUCAUCAAGGAAAUGAAAAUUAAAACCACUAUGAGAUAUCACCUCACACCUGUUUGAAUGGCUGUUAUCAAAAGGACAAGAGAUAAUAAAUGUUGGCAAGGUUGCAGAGAAAAGGAGACCCUAAUACAUUGUUAGUGGGAAUGUAGCUUGGUACAAAUGUUAUGGAAGAUGAUCUGGAGGUUCCUAAGAAAUUAAAAAAUAGAACUACCAUAUUACCCAGCAAUCCCUUUUUUGGGGUAUAUACCCAAAGGAGAUGAAAUCAUCAUCCCUGCACUUCUGUGUUCACUGCAGCAAUAUUCAGAAUAGCCAAAAUAUGGAAACAACCUAAACGUCUGUCAACAGAUGAAUGGAUAAUAACAAUAACAAUGGGGCACUAUAUAGCUAAUAUAAUAGCUAAUAGCUAUUAUAUUAUAGCUAUUGUAAUUGUAUAUAUAUAUAUAUAUAUACACAUUCUAUAUGUACAUAUAUAUGUGCAAUGAAAUGUUAUUCAGUCUUAAAAAAGGAAUAGACCUGUGUGACAUUAUGCUAAGGGAAAUAAACCAGACACAGAAAGAAAAAUAGUACAUUGCCUCACUCACAUGUGGAAUCUAAAAAUAAAAUAAAAGGUCAAAUAUGGAUUCCCGGGCAUGAUGGCUGAAUAGGAACAACUCUGGUCUGCAGCUCCCAGAGACGAAUGCAGAAGGCGGGUGAUUUCUGCAUUUCCAACUAAGGUACCUGGUUCAUCUCAUUGGGACUGGUUAGACAAUGGAUGCAGCCCACCGAGGAUGAACAAAAGCAGGGUGGGGCAUUGCCUCACCUGGGAAGCACAAAGGGUCAGGGAACAACCUCCCCUAGCUAAGGGAGGCCAUGAGGGACUGUGCCAUGAAGGAUGGUGCUAUCAGGCUCAGAUACUACGCUUUUCCCAUGGUCUUAACAACCCACAGACCAGGAGAUUCUCUUGGGUGCCUAUACCACAAGGGCCCUGGGUUUCAAGCAGAAAACUGGGCAGCCGUUUGGGCAGACACUGAGAUAGCUGCAGGAGUUUUAUUUUGUACUCCAGUGGCACCUGGAACACCAGCAAGACAGAACCGUUUACUCCCCUGGAAAGGGGGCUGAAGUCAGGGAAGCAAGUGGUCUUGCUCAGCAGAUCCCACCCACACCGAGCCCAGCAAGCUAAGACCCACUGACUUGAAAUUCUCGCUGCCAGCACGGCAGUCUGAAGUGGACCUGAGAUGCUCGAGCUUGGUGGGGGGAGGGGCAUCCACCAUUACUGAGCCUUGAGUAGGCUGUUUGCCUCUCACAGUGUAAACAAAGCCACCGGGAAGUUUGGACUGGACGGAGCCCACUGCAGCACCGCAAAGCCACUGUAGCCAAACUGCCUUUCUAGAUUCCUCUUCUCUGGGCAGGGCAUCUCUGAGAGAAAGUCAGCAGCCCCAGUCAGGGGAUUAUAGAUAAAACUCCCAUCUCCCUGGGACAGAGCACCUGGGGGAAGGGGCAGCUGUGGGUGAAGCUUCAGUAGACUUAAACGUUCCUGCCUGCCAACUCUGAAGAGAGCAGCAGAUCUCCCAGCACAGUGCUUGAGCUCUGCUAUGGGACAGACUGCCUCCUUAAGUGGGUCCCUGACCCCUGUGCAUCCUGACAGGGAGACAUCUCCCAGCAGGGUUUGACAGACACCUCAUACAGGAGAGCUCUGGCUAGCAGGUGGUGGGUGCCCCUCUGGGAUGAAACUUCCACAGGAAGGAUCAGGCAGCAAUCAUUGCUGUUCUGUAGCCUCCACUGGUGAUACCCAGGCAAACAAGGUCUGGAGUGGACCCCCAGCAAACUCCAGCAGACUUGCAGAAGAGGGGCCUGACUGUUAGAAGGAAAACUAAGAAACAGAAAGCAAUAGCAUCAACCUUGACAAAAAGGACAACCACUCAAAAACUUCAUCCAUAGGUUACCAACAGCAAAGACCAAAGUUUGAUAAAUCCAUGAAGAUGAGGAUAAACCAGUGCAAAAAGGCUGAAAAUUCCAAAAACCAGAAUGCCUUAUUUCCUCCAAAGGACCACAGUCCUCACCAGCAAGGGAACAAAAGUGGACGGAGAGUGAGUUUGACGAAUUGUCAGAAGUAGACUUCAGAAGGUGGGUAAUAACAAACUCCUCCAAGCUAACGGAGCAUGUUCUAACACGAUGCAAGGAAGCUAAGAACCUUGACAAAAGGUUAGAGGAGUUGCUAACUAGAAUAACCAGUUUAGAGAAGGACAUAAAUGACCUGAUGGAGCUGAAAAACACAGCACGAAAACUUCAUGAUGCAUACACAAGUAUCAAUAGCUAAAUCGAUCAAGUGGAAUAAGGGAUAUCAGAGAUUGAAGAGCAACUUAAUGAAAUAAAGUGUGAAGACAAGAUAAGAGAAAAAAGAAUGAAAAGGAACAAAUAAGUCCUCCAAGAGAUAUGGAACUAUGUGAAAAGACCAAACCUACAUUUGAUCGGUGUACCUGAAAGUGAUGAGGAGAAUGGAACCAAGUUGGAAAACACUCUUCAGGAUAUUAUCCAGCAGAACUUCCCCAGCCUAGAAAGACUGGCCAACAUUCAAAUUCAGGAAAUACAGAGAACACCACAAAGAUACUCCUUGAGAAGAGCUACCCCAAGACACAUAAUUGUCAGAUUCACCAAAGUAGAAAUGAAGGAAAAAAUGUUAAGGGCAGCCGGAGAGAAGGGUUGGGUUACCCACAAAGGGAAUCCCAUCAGACUAACAGCAGAUCUUUCAGCAGAAACCCUGCAAGCCAGAAGAGAGUGGGGGCCAAUAUUCAACCUUCUUAAGGAAAAUAAUUUUCAACCCAGAAUUUCAUAUUCAGCCAAAUGAAGGAGAAAUAAAAUCCUUUACAGACAAGCAAAUGCUGAGGGAUUUUGUCACCACCAGGCCUGCCUUAGAAGAGCUCCUGAAGGAAGCACUAAAUAUGGAAAGGAAAAACCGGUACCAGCCACUGCAAAAACAAGCCAAAAUGUAAAGACCAUUGACACUAUGAAGAAACUGCAUCAACUAAUGGGCAAAAUAACUCACUACCAUCAUAAUGCUGAUAUCAAAUUCACACAUAAUAAAAUUAACUUUAAAUGUAAACAGGCUAAAUGCCCCAAUCAAAAAGCGCAAACUGGCAAAUUGGAUAGAGUCAAGACCCAUUGGUGUGGUGUAUUCAGGAGACCCAUCUCAAGUGCAAAGACACACAUAGGCUCAAAAUAAGGGAUGGAGGAAGAUUUACCAAGCAAAUGGAAAGCAAAAAAAAAAAAAAAAAAAAAAAAAAGAAAGAAAAAAAAAGCGCGGAGUCUCUAAUAUAACAGACUUUAAACCAAUAAAGAUAAAAAAGUCAAAGAAGGGCAUUACAUAAUGGUAAAGGGAUCAAUGCAACAAGAAGGGUUAAACUAUCCUAAAUACAUAUGCACCUGAUACAGGAGCACACAGAUUCAUAAAGCAAGUUCUUAGAGACCUGCAAAGACACUUAGACUCCCAAACAAUAGUGGAAGACUUUAACACCCCACUGUCAAUAUUAGACAGAUCAAAGAGACAGAAAAUUAUCAAGGAGAUUCAGGACUUGAACUCAGCUCUGGACCAAGCAGACCUAAUAGACGUCUACAGAACUCUCCACCCCAAAUCAACAGAAUAUACAUUCUUCUCAGCACCACAUAGCACUUAUUCUGAAAUCGACCACAUAAUGGAAGUAAAGCACUCCUCAACAAAUGCAAAAGAACAGAAAUCAUAACAGUCUCUCAGACCCCUGUGCAAUCAAAUUAGAACUCAGGAUUAAGAAACUCCCUCAAAACUGCACAACUACAUGGAAACUGAACAAUCUGCUCCUGAAUGACUACUAGGUAAAUAACAGAAUUAAGACAGAAAUAAAUAAGUCCUUUGAAACCAAUGAGAACAAAAACACAACAUAGCAGAAUAUCUGGGACACAGCUAAAGCAGUGUGUAGAGGGAACUUUAUAGCACUAAAUGCCCACAGGAGAAAGUGGAAAGAUCUAAAAUCUACACCCUAACAUCACCAUUAAAAGAACUAGAGAAGCAAGAGGAAACAAAUUCAAAAGCUAGCAGAAGACAAGAAAUAACUAAGAUCAGAGCAGAACUCAAGGAGAUAGAGACAAGAAAAACCCGUCAAAAAAACAAUGAGUCCAGGAGUUGGUUUUUUGAAAAGAUUAACAAAAUAGACCACUAGCCAGAAUAAUAAAGAAGAAAAGAGGGAAGAAUCAAAUAGACACAAUAACAAAUGAUAGAGGGAAGAUCACCACUGAUCCCACAGAAAUACAAACUACCAUCAGAGAAUACGAUAAGCACCUUUACACAAAUGAAAUAGAAAUAGAAAAUCUAGAAGAAAUGGAUAAAUUUCUGGACACAUACACCCUCCCAAGAGUAAACUAGGAAAAGUUGAAUCCCUGAAUAGACCAAUAACAAGUUCUGAAAUUGAGGCAGUAAUUAAUAGCCUACCAGCCAUAAAAAGCCCAGGACUGGAUGGAUUCACAGGCAAAUUCUACCAGAGGUACAAAGAGGAGCUGGUACCAUUCCUUCUGAAACUAUUCCAAACAAUAGAAAAAGAGGGACUCCUCCAUAACUCAUUUUAUGAGGCCAGCAUCAUCCUGAUACCAAAACGUGGCAGAGACACAACAAAAAAAGAAAAUUUCAGGCAGAUAUCCCUGAUGAACCUCGAUGCGAAAAUCCUCAAUAAAAAACUGGAAAAAUGAAUCUAGCAGCAUAUUAAAAAGCUUAUCCAUCAAAAUCAAGUUGGCUUCAUCCCUGGGAUGCAAGGCUGGUUUAACAUACAUAAGUCAAUAAAUGUAAUCCAUUACAUAAACAGAACCAAUGACAAACAACACAUGAUUAUCUCAAUAGAUGAAGAAAAUGCCUCUGAUAAAAUUCAAUCCCCCUUCAUGCUAGAAACUCUCAAUAAACUAGGUAUCGAUGGAACAUAUCUCAAAAUAAUAAGAGCUAUUUAUGACAAACCCACAGCCAAUAUCAUACUGAAGGGGCAAAAGCUGGAAGCGUUCCUUUGAAAACCGGCACAAGACAAGGAUGCCCUCUCUCACCACUCCUAUUCAACAUAAUAUUGGCAGUUCUGGCCAGGGCAAUCAGGCAAGAGAAGGAAAUGAAGGGUAUUCAAAUAGGAAAAGAGAAAGUUAAAUUAUCUCUGUUUGCAGAUGACAUGAUUGUAUAUUUAGAAAACCCCAUUGUCUCAGCCCGAAACCUCCUUAAGCUGAUAAGCAACUUCGGCAAAGUCUCAGGAUACUAAAUCAAUGUGCAAAAAUCAUAAGCAUUCCUAUACACCAAUAAUGGACAAACAGAGAGGCAAAUCAUGAGCAAACUCCCAUUCACAAUUGCUACAAAGAGAAUAAAAUACCUAGGAAUACCACUUACAAUGGAUGUGAAGGACCUCUUCAAGAGAACUACAAAUCACUGCUCAAGGAAAUAAGAAAGGACACACACAAAUGGAAAAAUCUUCCAUGCUCAUGGAUAGGAAGAAUCAAUAUUGGGAAAAUGGCCAGACUGCCCAAAAUAAUUGAUAGGUUCAAUGCGAUCACCAUCAAGCUACCAUUGACUUUCUUCACAGAAUUAGAAAAAAACUACUUUAAAUUUCAUAUGAAACCAAAAAAGAGCCCGUAUAGCCAAGACAAUGCUAGGCAAAAAGAAUAAAGCUGGAGGCAUCACGCUAUCUGACUUCAAACUAUACUACAAGGCUACAGUAACCGAAACAGCAUGGUACUGGUACCAAAACAAAACAGGCAUUUGGACCAAUGGAACAGAACAGAGGCCUCAAAAAUAACACCACGCAUCUACAACCAUCUGAUCUUUGACAAACCUGACAAAAACAAGCGAUGGGGAAAGGAUUCCCUAUUGAAUAAAUGGUGUUGGGAAAACUGGCCAGCCAUAUGCAGAAAACUGAAACUGGAUCCCUUCCUUACACCUUAUACAAAACUUAACUCAAGAUGGAUUAAAGAUUUAAACAUAGGACCUAAAACCAUAAAAAUCCUAGAAGAAAACCUUGGCAAUACCAUUCAGGACAUAGGCCUGGGCAAAGACUUCAUGACUAAAACACCAAAAGCAAUGGCAACAAAAGCCAAAAUUGACAAAUGGGAUCUAAUUAAACUAAAGAGCUUUUGCACAACAACAGAAACUAUCACCAGAGUGAACAGGCAACCUACAAAAUGGGGUAAAAUUUUUGCGAUCUAUCCAUCUGACAAAGGGCUAAUAUCCAGAAUCUAUAAGGAACAUAAACAAAUUUACAAGAAAAAGAAAACCCCAUCAAAAAGUGGGCAAAGGAUAUGAACAGAUACUUUUCUUUUUUUAUUUUGUUAUUAUUAUUAUGCUUUAAGUUUUAGGGUACAUGUGCACAAUGUGCAGGUUAGUUACAUAUGUAUACAUGUGCCAUGCUGAUGUGCUGCACCCAUUAACUCGUCGUUUAGCAUUAGGUAUAUCUCCUAAUGCUAUCCCUACCCCCUACCCCUACCCCACAACAGUCUCCAGAGUGUGAUGUUCCCCUUCCUGUGUCCAUGUGUUCUCAUUGUUCAAUUCCCACCUAUGAGUGAGAACAUGCAGUGUUUUGUUUUUUGUCCUUGCGAUAGUUUACUGAGAAUGGUGAUUUCCAAUUUCAUCCAUGUCCCUACAAAGGACAUGAACUCAUCAUUUUUUAUGGCUGCAUAGUAUUCCAUGGUGUAUAUGUGCCACAUUUUCUUAAUCCAGUCUAUCAUUGUUGGACAUUUGGGUUGGUUCCAAGUCUUUGUUAUUGUGAAUAGUGCCACAAUAAACAUACGUGCACAUGUGUCUUUAUAGCAGCAUGAUUUACAGUCCUUUGGGUAUAUACCCAGUAAUGGGAUGGCUGGGUCAAAUGGUAUUUCUAGUUCUAGAUGCCUGAGGAAUCGCCACAGUGACUUCCACAAGGGUUGAACUAGUUUACAGUCCCACCAACAGUGUAAAAGUGUUCCUAUUUCUCCACAUCCUCUCCAGCAUUUGCUGUUUCCUGACUUUUUAAUGAUUGCCAUUCUAACUGGGGUGAGAUGGUAUCUCAUUGUGGUUUUGAUUUGCAUUUCUCUGAUGGCCAGUGAUGAUGAGCAUUUUUUCAUGUGUUUUUUGGCUGCAUAAAUGUACUCUUUUGAGAAGUGUCUGUUCAUGUCCUUUGCCCACUUUUUGAUUGGGUUGUUUGAUUUUUUCUUGUAAAUUUGUUUGAGUUCAUUGUAGAUUCUGGAUAUUAGCCCUUUGUCAGAUGAGUAGCUUGCGAAAAUUUUCUCCCAUUUUGUGGGUUGCCUGUUCACUCUGAUGGUAGUUUCUUUUGCUGUGCAGAAGCUCUUUAGUUUAAUUAGAUCCCAUUUGUCAAUUUUGGCUUUUGUUGCCAUUGCUUUUGGUGUUUUAGACAUGAAGUCCUUGCCCAUGCCUAUGUCCUGAAUGGUAAUGCCUAGGUUUUCUUGUAGGGUUUUUAUGGUUUUAGGUCUAACAUUUAAGUCCUUAAUCCAUUUUGAAUUAAUUUUUGUAUAAGGUGUAAAGAAGGGAUCCAGUUUCAGCUUUCUACAUAUGGCUAGCCAGUUUUCCCAGCACCAUUUAUUAAAUAGGGAAUCCUUUCCCCAUUGCUUGUUUUUCUCAGGUUUGUCAAAGAUCAGAUAGUUGUAGAUAUGCGGCGUUAUUUCUGAGGGCUCUGUUCUGUUCCAUUGACCUAUAUCUCUGUUUUGGUAGCAGUACCAUGCUGUUCUGGUUACUGUAGCCUUGUAGUAUAGUUUGAAGUCAGGUAGCGUGAUGUCUCCAGCUUUUUUCUUUUGGCUUAUGAUUGACUUGGCAAUGCAGGCUCUUUUUUGGUUCCAUAUGAACUUUAAAGUAGUUUUUUCCAAUUCUGUGAAGAAAGUCAUUGGUAGCUUGAUGGGGAUGGCAUUGAGUGUAUAAAUUACCUUGGGCAGUAUGGCCAUUUUCACAAUAUUGAUUCUUCCUACCCAUGAGCAUGGAAUGUUCAUGCAUUUCUUUGUAUCAUCUUUUAUUUCGUUGAGCAGUGGUUUGUAGUUCUCCUUGAAGAGGUCCUUCACAUCCCUUGUAAGUUGGAUUCCUAGGUAUUUUAUUCUCUUUGAAGCAAUUGUGAGUGGGAGUUCACUCAUGAUUUGGCUCUCUGUUUGUCUGUUAUUGGUGUAUAAGAAUGCUUGUGAUUUUUGUACAUUGAUUUUGUAUCCUGAGACUUUGCUGAAAUUGCUUAUCAGCUUAAGGAGAUUUUGGGCUGAGACAAUGGGGUUUUCUAGAUACACAAUCAUGUCAUCUGCAAACAGGGACAAUUGGACUUCCUCUUUUCCUAAUUGAAUACCCUUUAUUUCCUUCUCCUGCCUAAUUGCCCAGGCCAGAACUUCCAACACUAUGUUGAAUAGAAGUGGUGAGAGAGGGCAUCCCUGUCUUGUGCCAGUUUUCAAAGGGAAUGCUUCCAGUUUUUGCCCAUUCAGUAUGAUAUUGGCUAUGGGUUUGUCAUAGAUAGCUCUUCAGAAUUUUAGACCAAUAUCCUUGAUGAACAUUGAUGCAAAAAUCCUCAAUAAAAUACUGGCAAACUGAAUCCAGCAGCACAUCAAAAAGCUUAUCCACCAUGAUCAAGUGGGCUUCAUUCCUGGGAUGCAAGGCUGGUUCAAUAUACGCAAAUCAAUAAAUGUAAUCCAGCAUAUAAACAGAACCAAAGACAAAAACCACAUGAUUAUCUCAGUAGACGCAGAAAAGGCCUUUGACAAAAUUCAACAAUGCUUCAUGCUAAAAACUCUCAAUAAAUUAGGUAUUGAGGGGACGUAUCUCAAAAUAAUAUGAACAGACACUUUUCAAAAGAAGAUGUUUAUGCAGCCAACAAACAUAUGGGAAAAAGCUAAUCAUCACUGGUCAUUAGAGAAAUGCAAAUCAAAACCACAGUGAGAUACCAUCUCACCCUAGUUAGAAUGGCAAUCAUUACAAUGUCAGGAAACAACAGAUGCUGGAGACGAUGUGGAGAAAUAGGAACGCUUUUACACUGUUGGUGGGAGUGUAAAAUAGUUCAACCAUUGUGGAAGACAGUGUGGCGAAUCUUCAGGGAUCUAGAACUAGAAAUACCAUUUGACCCAGCCAUCCCAUUACUGGGUAUAUACCCAAAGGAUUAUAAAUUAUUAUAUUAUAAGGACACAUGCACACAUAUGUUUAUUGCAGCACUAUUCACAAUAGCAAAGACUUUGAACCGACCCAAAUGCCCAUCAACGAUAGACUGGAUAAAGAAAAUGUGGCACAUAUACAUCAUGGAAUACUAUGCAGCCAUAAAAAAGAAUGAGUUCAUGUUCUUUGCAGGGACAUAGGUGAAACUGGAAACCAUCAUUCUCAGCAAGCUAACACUGGAACAGAAAAUCAAACACCACAUGUUCUCACUCAUAAUUGGGAGAUGAACAAUGAGAACAUGUGGGCACAGGGAGGCGAACAUCACACACGGGGGCCUGUUGUGGGGUGGGAGGAAAGGGGAGGGAUAGCAUUAGGAGAAAUACCUAAUGUAGAUGACGGGAUGAUGGGUGCAGUGGACCACCAUGGCACAUGUAUACCUAUGUAACAAACCUGCAAGUUCUGCACAUGUAUCCCAGAACUGAAUAUAUAUAUAUAUAUGUAAAAUAUACAGAGAUACAAAAUAAAACAUCAGUCACCAUGGGUGGGGGUGAGGGGUAGGAAAUGGAGAGACAUAGGUUAAAGGAUAGCAAAAUAGCAGAUGUGUAGAAUGAACCAGUCUAGAAAUACAAUGAACAACAUGAGGACUAUAGUUAAUGAGGUUGUAUUGUACCAGGAUUUUUUUGUUAAACAAGUAGAUUUUAGCUGCUUCUGUCACAUAAAAGAAAUUAACUCUGUGAGAUGAUAGAUAUGCUAAUUUGCUUCACUGUAGUUAGCCAUUUUAAUAUCUAUAGGUAUCCCAUAACAUCGUGUUGUAAACUUCAAAUGUACACAACAAAAUUUAUUCCUAAAAUAAUAAAUAAAUUUAUCCAGUGUAAGUUUCUUUCAAAUAAAUGUUCAGGCUCAAACUGAACAGAACCCUAAAGCUGUGAAAAUUCAGAGCUUCUGACAUCAAAGCCCACCACCGAGCACAAGAAAUGUACACCAAGUGUUUCUGCUAUGAAUUAAUUCCCAUCAGCUGAGAAAGUGGGAUAUAGCUGACAACAAAAAAUGUAGAGAAGCCUAUAAAUCAAGUUUGCUAUUUAUUUCAUAUUACAAAAUUAUUGAGUAAGGAGUAUAUUUUCAAAGGAUUUAUGGGAAUUAGGGAGCUGAACACGCUUUUGUUGCUUUGAAAUUUUACCCACAAUGGUUUAACUACAUUCAUAAUAACAGUUAUUUUCUGUUGGACUUCGACACAUGUUUUUAACUUUGAACAAUAUUGCAUUUUGUACCAUGAUUAACAUUGUUCAUUCACUAGUUUUGAGACAACAUGCUAGUCCUGUUGAUGCAAAACUUGUUACUUUGCUAGAUCAUCAGAUGGCAUAGCCUUUCUGAGUUUGUGUGAGGUUUUCCAGAACUGUGGCCUGGGAACUUCCAUCCAUGCAUCACACCUAAGAGCUCACAAUCCCACAACAGCAGAGCAUUGGAUUGUUAUUGAGUCACAACAGCUGACAGACCCAUCUGGCUUGUGGCCAUCAUAUAUUGAGAACUCACUGAAAAAUGGACUGUGAGAUCCAGGUGGCAGAGCUCUGGAGCGGAAAUUCAAAGCCAGCCAUAAACAUUCAAUGAAGCAGCUGCCUCUUUAUCAGGAUUUGAAAUAACCUUAAGGAACCCACUACCCAAGCUUGGCUCUGAAGCCGCUUUCGCACUUGAUACUGCCAUAUUGGCUUAAAUUACAAUAUUACUCACUCCACUGAGUUAUGUUAUUACAGACUUUAUGAAAAUGCAUCUUUCUUAACAAGACUUGUGUUUAGGUUCCUAAGGCCCUACCCACACUGUACGACCAGCUCCGCAGUAAAACAUGUUUCUGGCAUGUUUGGAUUGAUUAUAGGCUCUAUCUUGGACUCUUACCUAAAGUUACUUGCUCUCUGCUUCCAUAUAUUUUUAAUCUCCCGAUUUUAGUUUAGCCUGUCUUUCUAGAUCUGAGGCUUGAGAGCAACUAUAAAGAAGUUCAUAACAUCUAGAAAUAAUUAUGAGUUAUUUUAUUAGAUAAUAAAUACUUUAGCCAUAGUCUAGUCAUGAAGCAGCAGGACAGUAUGCAGGUAUAAAUUGAAUGUAGUAGAAGAAAGAAAGGUGUUAAAAAUGAGAUGAUAAGAGGCUCAUAAUCAGAGAAGAGAAAAAGUGAUGGAAGAACUUGGUAGAUUGGAACAAUUAGGAGUUUAAACAGUUUAAACAUAGGUAAAGAGAGGUUUACUGGAGGAAAGGUUAUUUAAUUUACAAAGUAGACAGAGAAGCUACAUAGCUUGGGUUUACUUUCAUUAUCAUUUAGCUAAGGAUUAGAACUACAGAAAUAUUUAUUAGUUCCUAUAAACAAAUAAGUAAAAUCAAAGUGUAUUUUCCAGUGUCUUCUAGAAUGUGUUAUUUGGAAUGCCAAUUACAUGAGAUUGCUUGUGAAAAUAGAGUUUCUGGACUAAUAAAACUAGGAAAUGAAGCAUGGUCAAUCCUCCACUUGGAGAUACACUCAACAUGUUAGCAUAUUGGUGGCCUUGACAUGUCUAGAUUAAAGAAUAACAAAACUGGUUUGACUUAUUAAAUUCCGCCUUCUUUUUCCAAAUGAAAGGUUAACUUAUUGAGGAGCAUAGUUUAAUAAAUUCUGUUUAUGUAAUGUAAGGAAGCCAAAAAAUACCCUUUACAAGUAGAUGCUCACGUAACAAGCAAGAUUCUGAACCACGAGAUUUCAAAAUUUUGAGUUCUAAGCUCUACGAAACCUAUAUUUACUUGUCAGUUAUAUACGUUACUACAUUCUGACAUAUUAUGUAUAUUAUUGUCAGAUAAAAAUACAGAAGAUGAUAAAAAUGUUUAGGAUAGAUUUAUUUUAAUUUUGGCUGUUUAAAAACUUUUUUCUUUCACUAAACUAUUUUAAUUAAUGAUAGGUUUUAGUGAACAAUGUGAUUAAAUUUUCUUUUGAUUGUUGAAAACUUUGGCUUAUGUCAUAAUUUAAAAUUUGUAACACAAUGGAUCAAAGAAGGGGUCCUAAGUUGAGUUUAUUUCCAUAUUAGAUUAAAUGACUGUCAUUUAUGAAAAAGAUACUUAAAAAGACAAAAAGAACAAAUCAAAGAUGGCAUCAAAUUCUCAUGCACUGAUACCUACAGGUGUAAUAUUCAUAUAGAGUUAGUUACAGCGUUAGCAAUGGUGGACAUGGAUCCAUAUUUUGAGAAGUCUUCUUAAUUAUAGGAAUACCUUGGAUAUAUUGUGGGCCCAGUUGUGACUAUUGCAACAAAAAGAAGAAAGGCAUAGCUCAUUUUAUUGUACUUCACUUUAUUGUGCUUCACAGAUACUGCAUUUUUUAUAGUUUGAAGGUUUGUAAUAACCGUGCAUCAUGCAAGUCUAUGAGAACAAUUUUUCUGAUAGCAUGUGCUCACUUUGUGUCUUUGUGACACAUUUUGAUAAUUCUUGCAAUGUUUCAAACUUUUAUUAUUAUUAUGUCAGUUACGGUGAUCUGUGAUCAGUGAGCUUGAUGUUACUAUUGUGAUUGGAGCAUCAUGAACAGAGCCUAUCCAAGGUGGUGAAUGUAAUGAAACUUAAUCGAUAAAUGGGUGUCUUCUGACUGCUCCACUGACUACCCUCUCCCUCUCCUCUGAAUUCCCUAUCCUCUGUGAAACAACAUUAUUGAAAUUAGGCCAUUUAUAACCCCACAAUGACCCUGAAGUGUUCGCGUGAAAGGAAGAGUUGCACACCUUUCACUUUUAAUCCAAAACUAGGAAUGAUUAUAUUUUUAUAUUUUAAAAACACAUUCUAACAUUUUCUUCUUUUGUCCUCCAACUGCUUGUCUCACUUCUUUGCUAUAGGCAGCCCAUUUUGGAUAUGACUUGUUCAUAUUUCUGAGAAUUUCAGCUUCAAUUCUAACCUAUGACAGGCCUGUCUCACUUUUUAGGGGAGUGUUGCUUUUUAAUACAUAGGCAAAUGAAGCCACAAAUGAGCCUUUUCUUAGCCACCAGGAUGGCUUCAGGCAUAUUUUUAAAUUCCUUAGACAAUUAGUACUCCAUGCUUAUUUUUCAACAGGGUUUAGCAAAUAAAGAUUUAUGGAGGAAGUAAUUUUGGACCCAGAUGUGCAGAGAAAAUGGUAAAGAUUUUUAGAAAGAAAAGAGAUUAUAUUUUAACGAAGGAGAAGGGCUAUCAAAGGGAUUUUCUUUUUUAUAACAAUAAAUUUAUGGAGCAUUGUUACUUUACAUUGUGUGUGUGUAUGUUGUGUGUGUGGGUGUGUGUGUGUGUGUAUAUAUAUAUAUAUAUAUUUAUAUAUAUAUUUUUAUAUAUAUAUAUAUGUAUAUAAUGUUUUCCCAGAGUGGAGCAUGUGCAGAAGAUGUAUCAAAGGUGGUUAGAUAUGCAAUAGACUUGCCUGAAUUUCCAGUUUUAUAAUAGUUAGCAAUUCUGUUGUUAAAUCAAUUGCCUUAUCAAUUGCAUUAUCAGUGUGUGGUUUCAUGCAUUGCUAUGGUUCCUAUAUUCUUAGAAAUAGCUCUGGGGCAUAAACAUCUUCAUAUUUCAUUGCUUAUCUGUCCUAGAGUGGUGUGUAGAGUGGUGUGUCCUAGAGUGGUAUGUCCUAGAGUGGUGCGUAGGUGGCUUAUGCCCCUACAUUUCUGUAUUGUUUUCAGUGCGUUUACUUCUCCAAAUGGCAAUCUUCCUCUUCACUUGGAGAGCAUCUCUUUCCCCUCCACUUGUCUCUGCUCAGCUCAGAGAGCAGUCGUAACAACCACAGAGGAAAGAGUUAUGAUUUUUUGCCCACCUUAGCAGUGUAGUCCAAGGUAGCAUGUGAAGGAAGAAGAUCUCAAUUUCUCUCUAAACUCUUAAAAUUAUCUGUGACUUGACAGACGUACCCUAAGUCAAUCCCCAGUGCCCUAUAGCUUUUGUGUAUUCCUCAUCCUUGAAUGUGUGGGGGUGGAGAGAACUGUGACUUUUUCCAACCAAGUCAAUAAGGCAAAGGUGAUGGAGUGCUACUCCCUGAUUAUGUUUCAUUAUGAGCCCAUUUUAGCUGACUGGAGAGAGACUUUUCUCCCUUGCUGGCUGUUGAAAUAUACUGCUGUGUUGUGAGAGGGCUGUAUGGCAAGAACUUACGUGUGGCCUUCAGGAGCUGGGAACACUCCUCAGCACCAAAAAGCCAGCAUGAAAAUGGGGACUUCCAUCCUACAACCACAAGGAGAUGAAUUCUGCAAACAACUGGAGGCAGCUGGAAACAGAUCUUUCCCCAGUCAAGUCUACAAAGGAGAACCGAGCCCUAGCUGAUAACUUUGAUUACAGACUUGCAGAGAAUCCAGCUAAGCCAUGCCCAGAUUGCCAGUCCAUAAAAAAAACUGAGAAAAUAAAUGUGCAAUGUUUCCAGCUGCAACACUUGGGAUAAUUUAUUAUAUAAUAAUAGAAAUUAACAGGCUGAAGAAGUAGCCACGUUUUUAUUUUGAUUCUUCUUUAACUUUUAUAAACUUCAACUUUUCAUCUAUAAAACUGAGGGUGAUUAAACAUAUUGUUAUUUCCUAAUCUUUAAAAAAAAAAAAAACCCUUGCCUUUAUUUGGUAAGAUUGUACACUGUUCUGAAGAUCAUGCCAUUUGGCUCUACCAAACUCUAGUUCAAGACAGUUUUACUUUCUAAGCUUGAAUGAUUAAAACAGUAGCUAAGAAUUUGUGAUCUUAAGUGAGCUUUUUCCAUACUACAUGUGGAUCCACCCCACCUUGAUAUGGAUACAUACUCAUUCAGGAUCCCUAAAUUAGUGGAGGCCUAAGGUCCUUUCCAACACCCACACUCCAUGAUUUUUUAGUUUACAUUUAUUCUAACCCAUGUGACACUAAAACAAAUAGGGCUCUUGGGUACUUAGCUGUCCAAUCUUACUACCAGUUUUUAUACUGUGUACUCUCCAGAAAGGAACAGGAAUUUUAUGUUUAUGGACUAGGCGAUUUUGACCAUGAUUAUCAGCCAAUGAAUCCCACCUGGCAUAGGUUAUGUAGGUUUAAUCCUAAUCUUUAGUUGUGGAAUGAAUGCUUCAUCUCCUUUACUGAGGUAUCCUAAAGAAGAAAGUGAGAAAGACUGGAUUUAUGAUCUCUCUGAACCAUAGCCUGAAAGCUGUGGACAAUAUCAUCUACAUAUAGCACUGGCUUUUAGGUUAUUCCUUCUAUUGUAAGGUUGUUUUUCUUGCUGUUUGGAAACUCUUCUGACCUCUACUUACCUUGAGAACUGGUCACUUAAACAUGCAGUGACAACUCUGAGCUUUCCUAGAUAGCUGCCUACUGGUGCACAAUGUCUGUCUCGCCUUGGGUGUAAGGGUUAGAAUAAAAUGCACUCUUUAUAAACAAGUUGUUCCACAGUGAUUCAGGAUUGGAGAAGAACUAGAAAGUGAAUCAACCAAGAACUUGUACGCUUAGAAAAUUUUCUGGAGUUUUGAAAGUCCUUAUUUUAAAACAGACAAAAAUAUAAUGGUGACCGGGCAUGGUGGCUCAUACCUGUAAUCCCAGCACUUUGGGAGGCUGAGGUAGGCGGAUCACCUGAGGUCAGGAGUUCAAGGCCAGCCAGGCCAACAUGGUGAAACCCAGUCUCUACUAAAAAUGCAAAAAUCAGCCGGGCAUGGUCACGCGUGCCUGUAAUCCCAGCUAUUCAGGAAGCUGAGGCAGGAGAAUCGCUUGAACUCGGGAGGCAGAGGUUGCAGUGAGCUGAGAUUGCACCAUUGCACUCCAGCCUGGGUAGCAGAGUGAGGCUCUCUUAAAAAACAAACAAAAAACUGAAGGCAAAUUUGGAGGUGGUCUAUGUCAUACCAUCCUAGAUUUGAUUCCUGGUGCAGCUGUUUGACACAUAGGUAGCCUAAAGCAGGCAAUUUUAUAUCUUUGAAACUUAGUUUACUUACAGUUAAAUUAGAAAUUUAUGGCUAACAAGAUGAAGAAUUUUUAUUUUUUCAGUAGCUGGUAAGAAGAUUGCUGUGCUAUUCACAAUAGCAAAGGCAUGGAAUCAGCCCAGGUUUCCAUCAAUGGUAGACUGGAUAAAGAAAAUGUGGUACAUAUACACUAUGGAACACUAUACAUCCAUAAAAAAAGAAUGAAAUCAUGUCCUUUGCAGCAACAUGGAUGCAGCUAGAGGCCAUUAUCCUAAGCAAAUGAACACAGGAACAGAAAACCAAAUACCACGUGUUCUCACAAGUAGGGGCUAAACAUUAAGCACUCGUGUACAUAAAUAUGGAAAUAAUAGACACUGUGGACUACUAGAGGUCAGGGGUGGUUUAAAAAAACUACCUAUUGGGUACUAUGUUUACUACCAGGGUGACGGGAUUUGUGCUACAAACCUCAGUAUCACUCAAUAUUCCCAUGUAACAAACCUGCACAUGUACCCCUGUAUCUAAAAUAAAAGUUGAAUUUAAAUAAAUAAGUAUAUAUAUAUAUAUAUAUAUAUAUAUAUAUAUAUAUGAAGAGAUUUUGAUUAGAUUACUGAAUCAUAGAUAAAAAUCCAAAAAUGGGGCUCAGGAUUCCAGUGGAAAAAGGACACUACGUUUCAUAAUCAAGGUGAUUGAGAGAGAAGAGAGGGGGAAACAGUAAUAUACUGAGUCAGGCAGAUCAGGAAAAAAGAUGAGACAAAUGAAACUGCCUGUGAAGUAGCCAAAUUCUCUUCUCUCUCCUCAAUGACACCUUUACUAAAAUCUAUAUGCUCAAUAGUUUUUUUGAUGAGGUGAUUUUUUUUACUGGAAAAUUCAAAGCAGUGCUAGGUUCUGCAACGAGGUCUGUAAAAGAAUAAAGAACAGAAAUUGGCCAGAAAAAAAUUAACCUCUGAUUGAUUUACUAUCUACAUUUCACGACUGUUAUGAUAAUUAAUCAGGAUAGUGUAAGUAAAAUGUCCAGUACAGUGCCUGACACUUGUGCUUUCAAUAAAUGGUAACUAUUAUGAUUGCUACAUUACCAAAUUUCAUCGUAGGACAGUUAUAACCCCUGUGCAAUGAUAAUUAAAAUUCCCUUUAAACCUAGUAAUGCGAAAGUGCUAUGGAUAUAUAAGAAUUAUUAUUAAAUUAAGAAUUGCAGACAAAAUAAUAUAUUCAGUAACACAUACUUAAGUGAGAAAUGCAGUUGUUCUUUGGGAAUAAAAUAGAAAAUUAAAUUAAAGAAUGGGACUCUUUAAUAAAAGAAAGAUCAAUCAAUUCCCAAGAAUAUGUAGAAAGGAGAAAAAUCUAUUAAUAAUCAAGCAGGACAUUGCAAAUUGUCAGUAAAUAAAAUCUCAAUAAUUUGCAUCAUAAUGAGUUGAGUUAUUGGUUUCUAAGUUAUCUGUAGCUACUUAAUGAUUCACUACUUAUCACAUCAACAUUCUUUAAAAACAAUUUCCUACUGAUGAAAUAUUUCACAGCUGGUUAAAAAAUGUCCCCAUCUGGCAUCGUAGUUGGAGCCCACUUUAGUGCCAAGAUAUGGACAUGAUGAAGAAGGGUUGCUGAAUUGUCUGAAAAUUAUAAAGUGGUAGUUAAAAGAGAAAGGAAUAGUCACCAGGAAGGCAACGUUUAAAAAUUCUCAUACAAUCCUGGCAGGAGUAACAUUUUUGCAUGUACUUUGGAAAAACAUUUUAGGAGUAUCCCCUCAAGUUGAUCAUAUGUCUAUCCUAUAUCCCAGCAGGAUCAUCCCUUGAUGGACUACAGCUCUCCUUUUUUUUUUCCUCACUUGUAGUUCUCAAAAAUUACUAUAAUGUGCUGGGAAUACAAGAUCCUGAGAUAAGGAAGAAAUGUCCGGAAUGGCCUGUGCUCUGUGCGCAUCCUUCUUAGAAUAGGAUAUCCUGAAACACCUUUGCUCGGCAAGCCAAGUGAUAUCUAGGGUAUAAAACCCAGAGUGUAUUGCUUUCAGGGUCCCUCAACUGUAGUGCAAAGGGGAGCAUGUACAGGAAAGAGUCCAUCCAUCUUGGACAGCUUUCGGGAGGCUUGAGGGACUGGCUCACCACAAAUUCCAGCCUUCUGUUGUUCCUGGCUGUCUACGAGUAAUAAAGUUGCUUUGCUUACCUUAUGUGUGAAUAUUAUCUCUCAUCAGAUUCAUACAAAUGGUAGAAACUACAGAUUGGUAACUGGUGCAUGGUGAACCAGCUUCACACUCAGCAACACACAAGGUAUGCAAAGCAACGUUAUGAAGGUGGUCAUCUAUAAGCCAAAAACAGAGGCCUCAGAAGAAACCAAACAUGCUGACACCUUUAUUUUGGACUGCUACUAUCCAUAAACAUGAGAAAAUAUUUUUUCUGUUGUUUAAAUCACCCACUCUGGUAUUUUGUUAUGGCAGCUAGAGUUGACUAACACAGGUGUCAAUGUGGGUAAUUCUGCAACUGCUAACAGCAAAAAUGGAUUUCUCUUUUUCUUCUGCCUUCCAAAGUGAGUGCCACUGAUUGAUAUACUAUAAUCUGGAAUUACACUGGGAAGGGAAUUCUGAGCAAGGGUGUUUCAGGACAGAUGGCAGUAAUGCUGAUUUGACAUCAGAAAAUCUAGUACAAUUGAUCCCCUAAAAAUUUAGAACUCUGGAAUACAUAAACAUGGAAAACCUAUAAGUCUAAAAAUCUAAGCCUCUAGACAAAAUCUAAGCAUCUGGAUUUUUUUUUCUUUUCUCUAGGAUAAAAAUAUGUACAUACUAAUCUUGCCAUGUCUAAAGAUAAAUUGUAAACCUACACAAAAGAACAGAGGGUAUACAGGAGCAGUUGUGACAUGAGAUAUAGCUGGAAAGAAAGAGCAUUUUUAAGACAGCACUCACUGGGAGCUCUCAGAGAGCCUACCAACCCUGGGAAGCAACUUGGUGACUACAUUUGUGAUCAAGGCCCGUUUGGUUAAAGUAUUUAUGUUGAACAAUAUUGUAUGUAUAAACUUGACAAUAGAAAAAAUUAUUUAAGAAAGACUAUAUAUGUGUAUGAAUGUGAAUACAUUAUGUGUACUUUAUUAAAUUGUUAAUUGGAAGCAGGUGUAUGUGACAUAGGUACUUCUUUAGACUCCUUUAUUAGGAUUAUCCAGUGAAACAGAGCCAAUAGGAUGUACACACACACACACACACACACACACACACACACACACAUCCCAAUUUAUUUUAAGCCUCCAUGAUCACUCAUGCGAUUAUGGAGUCAGGCAAGCUUCAAAAUCUUUAGUGUGUAUUGGUAGGCUGGAGACCUAGGAUAGCUAACAGUCAGAUAAGGUCCAAAGGUAGUCUGCUGGAAAAGUACCUCUUGCUUGGAGAUGCUGUACUUUGUGUAGCAUUUAGUCCUUCCACUGAUUGUUUAAGGACUGCUAACAUUAUGUAGGGCAAUCUGAUUUACUCAAAGUCCACCUAAUUAAAAAAUAACAGAUGCUGGCAAGGCUGCAGAGAAAAGGGAAAGCUGAUGCACUGUUGGUGGAAAUAUAAAUUAGUCCGGCCACUCUGGAAAGCAGUUUGGAGAUUUCGUAAAGAUCUUAAAACAGAGCUACCAUUCAACCCAGCAAUUCCAUUACUUCCAUCAAACUUCCUGGGCAGUCCCUGCUUCUAUAAGUAUGGCACAGCCCUACGGCAGGCUAGAGAUUAUGGAAGUGCUCAGACACUCUGUAAAAAUGCCCGCUGCAGCUUUCUGUCACUGAGGCAUGCCUUUUCUUUAUGUCCCUGUGUUGUGAUCAGGAGAAGGAUUAACUACCUUAGCUUUUCUUGCUUCUAGAUUGAAAGAAAACUGUUUUGCAGGGGCCUUGUGAUUACAGGGCCUGCCACCUUUCUUUGCUCCCUGACUAUCCAAGGCACUGGGGAUUUUGCUGUAGUGUGGAAAACGUAAUCAUGGUUUUAGUAAGAACAGUCACGCCAACUUCAACUCAUUUCCUUUUAAAGGUGAAUUUACUAGCUUGGCAAAUCAGGAACAUGUACUAUUGUGUUUCUCGUAAUAUAUUUGAGAGAAAGAGUGAAAAAUGAAGACUAAGUGUGAUCAUAACUAUAAGAAAUUGCAAUUGAUUAAACAAGUGUGAUCAAAGAGUAUCAAUUUGCAAGCUGACGUCAUUUAAAAAUGCAUGCUGUAUGUAUGGCUUCUCAUAAUGUCUUCUGCAGCUCUGUGAUUGCUCUGCCCCUAAAUGGCAGUGAGCUCUUUUAGGUACUGCACCUUGUUUGGAUGCUUAGAUUCUAGUGGGAGAUGCUACAUACAAAAUAUAAUAAUUAAAAAGUGUGGAAGGAUACGAUGAUAACGAUGCAUAUAUGUGUGUGAUACUAUGGAAGCAUGAGGAAGGUGCCUCCCCAACAUGGGCAGAAGAGAGUAGAGAGAGAAGUGAGAGUCAGGUAAAGCUUAAUGAGGUAGGUAAAUCCUGAGCUGACUAUUAGUUUUUGUGUUUCACCAACUUCUUCUAUGUAAUUUCAACCAUGUGCCUCUUUUUGGGAGAUUACAGAAGAGUAUCACUUAUGUAAACAAUGUACAAAUAACCCUGCCACUCCUCACUAAAAACAACAAUAGUUAAAAAAAAAACACACAAACAAAGCUGAUAUGUGCAUACAAAGAUUUGAAUGAAGACGAUUAUAAUUGUCAAUGGUAAUAUCUGGGAAGAGGAUUGAGGGUGGAAUUUUUUUCUAAACUCCUAUAUCAUUAGUAUUUUUCUCUUCUGUAAACUUAUACCACUUUUAUAGAAUUAAAAAAAAUCGACUUUUCAAUUUUAAAAAGAAAUAAUCUAUCACAUAUUCGAUUGAAACAGAGCUACUCCCCCUGUGUAUAAAAAUGCCAUAAACUGCUUAACGUCUCUUAUUUCAUUUGUGUUUACACAUCUAUGUGAAAGGGUGAGGGUUUAGCAGCAGACACACCUCAUCAAUUUAUCUACAGGAAAAUGAUUAGAUUAUUCUAAUUAAUUUCAGAAAUCAGUGAAUUGUGUGGCCUUCUAAAAUUACUACACUAGCUAUGAAACUCCUGGUGACAUUUUUGAGCUAAAUGUUAUUCUUUUUAAUUGACCAGAUGCAAGCCCCUUUUCUCUUCCAUUUUAAAAUCUGGGUGCUGUUAUGUGGCAUGAAAGCACAUUUGAUCAGCUUUAACAUUUUAUCUGCCUCUUAAUGCUAGCAAUACUAGCUUUACUGAAAACUAUUAUAAAACAAAAUGGUUCACUUCAGAAAAAUGUGUCAUUUUCAAUACUAUUCUGUAACAUCUUGUUUGUAUUUCUCCUUCUCUUGGAUAAUACCGACUGUUUUUGUUUCAGUUCACUAGAUAAGCACUAGGAAAGAAACUAGACUUGUCAGACAGAUGGGUAAUAAUUGAUGACAAUCAAAAUGCAAUUGAAUUGCAUUCUUUUGAGAUCUUGAGAUGAAAAGGUACUUAUAGACACUGCUUCUAUUUAUACAGUUUCUUUGUUUGACUUGAAAGUAGCAUAGGUACCAGCUCCUUUUCCUCUCCCCACCCCAUUUUAUUCCAUACCUCUAGAAUGCACUCUUCACACAUUCAUGGGGUUAAAAUCUUUUAUGAAGAAGAUCAAGUAAACUCUUCUUGGGAGGAGUAACUUUCCUCUUGUCUAGUUUGAAAGCCUGAUUCCCCAGAAUUUCUAGACCAGGAUUUCCUACACCAAAUGAUGAGCAUUAUUGCAAUGAGGAGAUGGGACAAUCUCUGCCACAUUUAUCUGGUGAUAAACCAGAAAUCCCAAGAUAACUGGGGCACAGUAAGGGUGAAAGUCAUGAGUUUUUAUCUGUAAGUAAACUUAAUAGUAUUCCCCAAAAAGAUAUCUUCAAAUCCUAACUCCUAAUACUGGUGAAUGUAAACUUAUUUGGAAAUAGGGUCUUCACAGAUAUUAUUAAAGACUGUAAGAUGAGACCAUCCUGGAUUUAUAGUGGCUUGAAAUCCAAUGACUGGUGUCUUUAGAAAAAGAAGAGAGGGCAUAGACACACUGAAAAAAAGGCCAUGCAAAGACAGAGGCAGGGAUUAUAGUCAGGUAGUCCCAAACCAAAGGAUGUUCCAAGACACCACAAACUGAGAGAAAUAAGGAAGGAUUCACCCUUGGGGACUUCAUAGAAAGUGUGGCCUUGCCAACACUUUUAUUUUGGACUUCUGGCCUCCAGAACUAUGAGAGAUUCUAUUUCUGUUGUUUUAAGCCACCAAGUUUGUGUUACAACAGCCCUAGGAAAAUAAUAGAAAUUUUGGUUCCAGGAAGUGGAGAGCUGCUGUAUAAAUACAUAAAAAUUUGAAAGUGGUUUUUGAAUUGGAUAUUAGGUAGAAGACAAAAGAAUUUUGAUAGGUAUAACAAGAAAAUAAACUAGAUUGCAUUGAAAAGAUGGUUGAUAGGAAUGGACAUUAAAGGAAAUUUUGGUGAGGGCUCAGAAGGAAGUGAUGAGUACAAUAAAGAAAGCCUCUGUUGUUUUAAAUGAAUACAUUAUGAACAGAGUAUUGACAGAUAUAUGAACAUUAAAGGUGCUUCUGGUGAUGUCUCAGGCGGAAAUGGCUCACAUGUUAUUAGAAACAGGAAGAAAGGUGAUUCUUCUUACAAAGUGACAGAACAUUUGGUUCAAUUGGAUUCUACUGUUGGGUGGAAACAGAACCUAUAAGGAAUGGACUUGAAUAGUAAAUCGAAGAGAUUUUCAAGCAAAGUGUUGAAGGUGCAGCCUAAUUUCUCCUUGCUGCUUGUAGUAAAAUUCAGGAGGAUUCUAGAUCUUCGAGGAAUCACCACACUGUCUUCCACAAUGGUUGAACUAAAUUACAUUCCCACCAACAGUGUAAAAGUGUUCCUAUUUCUCUGCAACCUGGCCAGCAUCUGUUGUUUCUUGAUGUUUUAAUAAUCACCAUUCUGACUGGUAUGAGAUGGUACCUCACUGUGGUUUUGAUUUGCAUUUCUGUAAUAAUCAGCGAUGUUGAACUUUUUUUCAUAUGUUUGUAGGUCCCAUGAACGUCUUCUUUUGAGAAGCAUCUUUUCAUGUCCUUUGCCUACUUUUUAAUGAGGUCGUUUGUUUUUUUCUUGUAAGUUUGUUUAAAUUCCUUGUAGAUUCUGGAUGUUAGACUUUUGUCAGGUGGAUAGAUUGCAAAAAUUUCUCCCCCUCUGUAGGUUGCCUGUUCACUCUGAUGAUACUUUCUUUUCCUGUGCAGAAGCUCUUUAGUUUAAUGAGAUCCCAUCUGUUAAAUAACAUUUGACCCAGCAAUCCCAUUACUGGGUAUAUACCCAAAAGAAUAUAAAUCAUCCUAUUACAAAGAUACAUGCACUCAUAUGUUCAUUGCAGCACUAUUCACAAUAGCAGAGACAUAGAAUCAACUCAAAUGUCCAUCAGUGAUAGACUGGAUAAAGAAAAUGUGGUACAUAUACAUCGUGGAAUACUAUGCAGCCAUAAAAAGGAAUGUGAUCAUGUCCUUUACAGAGACAUGGAUGGAUCUGGAAGCCAUUAUCCUCAGCAAAUUAAUGCAGGAACAGAAAACCAAACACUACAUGUUCUCACUUAAUAAGUGGGAGCUGAACAAUGAAAAUAUGUGGAUACAGGGAGGGGAACAAUACACACUGGGGCCUGUUGGGGCAGAGGGUUGGUGGAAGGGAGAGCAUUGGGAAAAAUAACUAAUGCAUGCUGGGCUUAAUACUUAGGUGAUGGAUUGAUAGGUGCAGCAAACCACCAUGACACGUUUACCUGUAUAAUGAACCUGCACAUCCUGCACAUGUACUCUGGAACUUAAAAAUAAAAAUUGGCCGGGCGUGGUGACUCAUGCCUGUAAUCCCAGCACUUUGGGAGGCUGAGGCGGGCAGAUCACGAGGUCAGGAGAUCGAGGCCACCAUGGCUAACACGGUGAUACCAUCUCUACUAAAAAUGCAAAACAUUGGCUGGGCACGGUGGCGGGCUCCUGUAGUCCCAGCUACUCAGGAGGCUGAGGCAGGAGAAUGGCGUGAACCCGGGAGGCAGAGCUUGCAGUGAGCCGAGAUAGCGCACUGCACUCCAGCCUGGGUGACAGAGCGAGACUCCGUCUCAAAAAUAAAUAAAUAAAUAGAUAUUAAUUUUAAAAAUUCAACAGGAAAAAGAUGAACUGAAAAAGGAACUACUAAGCAAACAGCAAGGAGUACUUGAUAAUUUGGAAGGUUCUCCACAUACCUAGAUGCAAAAGAUGCUAAAAUUAGAAAAUUUAUUGUUGGGAAAGCAUACUCUAAAUAGAAGGCCAAAGAGGAGACUUAAAAAUCUUUUGCUGAAUAGAUUAGAUGUGUGGCUUAUGGAUCCAACUGACCGUUUCAGCAGACACCAGGAAUAGAGAUUGGUUAUCCAGGAAGGAUCUGUGGAAGAACCUCUUAUCUGACAGUGUGAUCCCCUUGACAUACAUGUUGGACCUACAAGGUUUUUAAGAAUGUUGUAUAAGCAGAAACACUGCCAGCUUAGACUAAAGGGGACAUAGACAGGAACACAGAGAAAAAGGUCACAUGAAGAUGAAAGUAGAGAUUGGGUGGGGUUACUUAAGAAAAGAUUCUCCCUUAGCCUUCAGAGGAAACAUGGUCCUGUUGACACUUUGAUUUCACACACCUGGCCUCUAGAACUGUGAGAGAAUAAAUUACUGUUGUUUCAGGCCACUACUGUCGCAGUGGUUUGUUGCAGGUCUGGGAAACUAAUACACCGUCUAUUAUUAUUGACUCUCUAGUCUUCUUUGGCCACUGCUGAUGCAAAUGAAGUGAUCUCUCUGACCUGAGUACCUCUAACCCUGACCCAGGUAUACCUAUUCUAGCCUUGGAUAUUUCCACAGAAUCAAAUUCACUCCCUACCUCCUGUUAACAGCUUUGUGAACAACUUGUAAGAAAUGUUAUACAUUGUAACAAAGUCUUAUAGGUACUUAAAUCUUAUAAUUCUGACAACACUUACUAAUUAUUUUAAAUGUUUCAAUAAACUUGAAAAAUUUACAAAGAGUGAUGAUAAAUAAAACAAUCUCUACUACACACUUUAUUGGACUCUAAUUGUCAGACUUUUUUUUGCAAGUGAGAAUGAAAUUAAUAAAUUGUCCCCUAAUUGGUAAAGAGCAGACAACAUAUUGUGCACUUGCUUCCAGUUUUAAAAUCUCUUAAACUUCGGUGGGGUAGGGAGAGGACAGCAGGAGAAAAGGCUAAGAAUAUUGAAGGGCAGUGUUUGGAGUAUAUUAAAUAUAUGUUAAUGCAUUGUCUUUUUAAAUAAUCUUGUAAAUUCAUGCACAAAUAAAUAUCUUUUAGCUGUUAGAGUAAAUGUUAUGGAAAGUAUUUAAUAAUAGCUCCCCUUCUGCAUUCAUCAUGUGUCUUAUGCACAUAAUAAUUUUAGUGAUAAUAAUUAUUUCCAUAGAGGCUGAGCAUGUUGGAUCAUGCCUAUAACCCAGCACUUUGAGAAACUGAGGCAGGAGGAUCACUUGGGUCCAGAAGUUUGAGAGCAACCUGGGUAACACAGGGAGAACUUGGCUCUACAAAUAAUUAAAAUCAGCUGGGUGUGAUGGUGCACACCUGUGGUUCUAGCUACUCAGGAGGCUAAGCGAUAUCAUUUGGUGCUGUGUUCCCACCUGAAUGUCAUAUUGAAUUGUAAUCUUCAUGUGUCAAGGAAAGGGCCUGGUGAGAGGUGAUUGGAUCAUAGGCGUGGUUUCCUCCAUGCUUUUCUCAUUGUAGUGAGUAAGUUCUCACGAGAUCUGAUGGCUUUUAAAGUGUUUGGCAGUUCCGUACUCACUCUUUCUCACCCGCUUUCUUGUGAAGAAACUGCUUGCUUUUCCUUCAUCUUCCACCAUGACUGUAAGUUUCCUGAGGUCUCCCCAGCCAUGUGGAACUGUGAGUCAAACCUUUUUCCUUUAUAAAUUACCCAGCCUCGGGCAGUUCUUGAUAACAGUGAGAAAAUGGACUAAUACACUGAGACAGUAGUAAGCCUGGGAGGUCGAGGCUGCAGUGAGCUGUGAUUGCACCACUGCACUUCAGCCUGGGCAACAGAGUGAGACUGUCUCAAGAAAAAAUUACUAUUAUUUCCAUUGCCAUUUAAUGUUAUAACUUAUAAAGGGUUUAUUAAUAAAUUAUGUGUCUGCAUGUCUAUAAAAAUUGAUUCUUAACCCAACAAUUGUGUUGGGAAAGUAAGGUAAGUUGUUAGUAUCCCAUCUUACAAUUAAGGAUACUGAGGCUCAGGUAAUUAAAAUGUCUUGACAAGUUCAUAGAACGAGUAAGUAUCAGAACACUGACCAGAACCUAGGCCUCCCAAUUCUAGCCCAGUGUUCUUUUGGUUUCUCUCUCCUAACUGUGGAAAAGUUGACCAAGUUAUAUAAGGAUAAUCAAUGUAUAUGCUUUUAUCUUUUCUGACAUUGUGAUCUGAAAUUUUACAUGUAAGAAAAAUAAUGUCAAAACCUCUUUAUUUAAUGGCUUACUUCUCUGAACAUAUGCUUUGACAAUUUUUGAAUUGAUAAUAAAAUGAAGCAAACAGGAACAUUAAAUAUACUUAAAUUUACUUGUUUCCUUGUGAAAAUAUGUCAUGCUACUACUAUUGUAUGUGGUGUAAGAAGAAAAUGCCCAGGUUAUAUUGAACAUAGUGUGGUAAUUUUUUAUGAUAUGAGAGGAUUAAAUAGGUUGUAUUUUUGUUUUUUUUUAAUGUUAUUUAAGACAUAUGGAUGGAAUUAAGUUGACUCCAAAGGACAAUUUAUUAUCACUGGAAAACCUGGGAAAUUUCUAAGAAACACUUUAAAAAUAUUUAUAUACUGGGUUCCCCUAAAUCCUUAAGAAAGAAAAGUGAUUCAUGAUUCAAUGCAAUGAAAGACCAGUAUGUUGUAUGUCAGUAAUUUUGCAGAUUUGCAAAGGUAACCAUUGUUUUUUUUUUUGAAUAUGAGAUGAAUGAAUAUGGACACUUUUUGAGGGAACAUUCAAAAAGUUUCAUAAAGUUAGUUAUGCUGUUUUUAAAAAGAACCAUUAAGGAACUAAUGGCCUAGCUGAAUUGAUACCUGGGAAAAUAUUCUACAUCUAAUAGAAAUAUGGUUCAAAUGCAGAAUGCUUACCAGAAAAUUGCUAAAAAUAUAAAUUAAGCAUACGAAGUCAUAUCUAUUAUGCUCCAUGCUGCUGUUGAUGAUAAUACAACAACAUAUUUCCAGAAUAACAGCUAUUCAGGAUAUUUGUAACAUUAAGGAAUUGAAAAUACUUGUCUUUGGGAAAUGUAUACUCAUGAGCCUGAAGGAAGUGGUUAGUCACGCAAUGUGAUAUAUUUUUAUAUACGUAUGUAAAUGGACAUAAAAACAAAAUGAAAACACCUACAAUAUUUGGAUGUUUAAAUUGAAAAUAUAAACAGAAAUAAAUACAAAUGUUAAUGUUGUUAUAUUCACCUUAACACACAUGAUGUUGCAAAAAGAGCUUUUCUGAGAUGACUCUCACAAACAUGAACAUCUCAAAUGGGAGGUAAGACUACAACCUGGUGAUCUGACAAGGGACCUGGACUGUGAAUAUUGUUUGAACUGGAAGUGUAGGAGGUACACUAGUAAGGGUAGAGAUCUCGAGGAUGUGGAAUGAUACCUUCCUUUGUCUGAGUCCCAGUCUGUGGUUUCUGUCCUAUUUAUAAUGACAUUCUGGUUGAAUUUGUUUGUUCUACAAAGUAAGUCAAGUUUCAAGUCAUGUCAGUUUAUCCAAUUAAGGCCUUGAUGAGAGGAAAAAGAGAAGAGGCCAUUUGUGCUCGUGUGCUCAAUUAUUUUUAAAGAUUACAUUCGGCCAUCUAAGCUUUCAUUGGUUGUCAAUAUGUGGUUGAUCAAAUUAGCACAAUUUGGAGGCCCAGUUCAUGAUUCCCUGGGUCUUUUGAGUCAUUAGUGAUCCCUGCUUGAUUGUAGUUGCCUGUUUCAGUAUGCCUGCAGAAAAGAAAAGGGCCCUGUUUAAAGUAUCAAAACUAUAGGAUUCCAAAACAGAUUUAGAAAUUCCCAUCUCCAGCUUGUCUGUUUUCCUCAAUACUAGCAACUGAGGCAUGCUGCUCUCGUGUCACUGUCCUGCCAUUGUCUAUUUGUCUUACUUCUGACUUCUGUGAGUUAGCCCUGGUCUAUUUAUCUUAUUUUGGGCAACACUGUGCUGUUUAAUAUCUGGUCUCUUUUUUCUGUUCAUAGACCCAAAUACUUUUCUCCAGGACAUAGCCUUCCUGUUUUCUUUUGUUCAAGUUUGAUGAGCUCAUGCUCUACACAUAACUCCCAGGGCAGCUUUAUACACUGACUGAAGGUGGAAAAUUGUUAGAAAAGUGUUUAGUAGGCUGAGCAUGGUAGCUCACUCCUGUAAUCUCAGCACUUUGGGAGGCCAAGAUGGGUGGGUCACUUGAGGUCAGGAGUUCAAAACCAGCCUGACCAACAGGGUGAAACCCUGUCCCUACUAAAAAUACAAAAUUAGCCAAGUGUGGUGGUGAAUGCCUGUAAUCCCAGCUGCUUGAGAGGCUGAGGAAGGAGAAUUGCUUGAACCUGGGGGGCGGAGGUUGCAGUGAGCCCAGAUCGUGCCAUUGCACUAAACCCUGGGCAACAAGAGCGGAACUCCAUCUCAAAGAAAAGUGUUUGGUAGAAAAAAAUUAUAGCUGCUCACUACAGAUUAAUGUUCUAACAUGUCAAGCAGGCUUUCAUAAGAUUCUAUAGGGGCUAAUAGAGGCUCACAAUCUCCUAGGAAGAUUGAUGUUUUUCUGGCUCAUCAUCAUGAGGGAGCUGACAGGGAACAUUCAAAAGAUCCUUAUGUGCUCCUGGUGCUCCUCAAUGACCUCAAUGUCAUUUGUGACUGAAUAAGUGAUGUGUUGAGCUCCAUGUUUUCCUGUCAAGGUGAUUUCUUCCCCACACGAUACAACAGACACUUCCACCACCCUAGAGAAUGCCAAUAUUAACCCCCUUAUAUUCUAUAUAUGAAUUUCUGCCAGUCACACAAGAAACCCAAGAUACCCAGGUCAUCUCAUCAUGUGGAUGUUGAUUCUCAAGCAUCUUGGAAUAUCCUGUAAUUAGCCUCCAUCUACCAUUCCUCCUCAGCUCCCAAUUCAUUCUUCUCCACUCUCUGGAGCACAGUCAGUCAUUAAAAAAAAAAAUCCCCUUUUUACUCAACCUCUCCUCAGAGGAUUUCCUUCACUGUUUCUCUAACUAAAAUCUGGCUCUCCAUUAAGGACACUUAGAGUCUUCUCAGACAGUGGUGGUUUUCUCUCACAUGUCUCUCUUACUACUUGGUCUGGAGUUAGGAUAAUUGUCUUUCCUGAUUCUUCUUGCUACCUUCAGACCUUUGUUUCUUCUUCCUUCCUCCUUCCAAGCCCCUGAUUUCUUUUGAAGUUUAUGUCAACAGAUUACCCACUAACCCAGUUUGUUGUAGUCAUCUAACUAAUCCCCAGACCAGCCUUAUUCAUUUCUUGAAGAUUUUAUUAUAUGAUUUACUCCAUCACUACUUCUGACACAAUUCUUGGUGAUUUUAAUAUUCAUGCAGAAAAUCCUGCUAAUAUCUUGAGUUUUUAGUUCCUCGUUGUUAUUUUUCCCUAGAAUCUUGUCCUUCACCUUAUAUCAGCUACCCAUUCUCACAGUUGUGCCCUAGACUUUGUCAGUCCUGGUAAUAGCUUUCCAUCCAUAAUCUCAAUUUUAAGUACUCCACUCUGCAAUCCACCCUUCCUAUCUUUCUAACAUGUUCCUUUAUUCUCUCCCCAUGAGUCAUUGGUCUUUCUGAAAUCUUCAGUCCACUGGGUCAUACCAUCUUUUUGCUGCAUACAUUUUCUCAGCUUUCUCCCAUCUUCAUCUUCCUUUCUCCAAAUUUAGGUUCUGUAGUUCAUUUUUAUGCUCAUUUCUUGCUUACAUCCUCAACCCCUUGGCUCUUCUUUCAUUACAUAUUAUAUGCCUGGCAAAACCCAACUCUGGUCAUGUCAGCCUGCUUUGCACACACACGUCUAGAAAAAAACUGUACAUCAAUGCUUCCCAAUCUUAUCUUAAAGAAGUGAACGUUAUCCUCAAGUUGGAUCCUAGCUAUGUCCAGCAACUGUUUUAUUUCUUUCAUAAACUUUCUCUUACUCCUCUAGAUAACGAUUUCAUACCACCUUCUUCAUUCUCAAACAUAUAUCUCUAUAAAUCUCUUCUCUUUGAGCUAACCAGCUUGCUAUUUCACCGAGAACAUGGAAAUAAUCAGGAGGGAACAUUCACAUGCUUUCACCACCCAGUGGACCCAUCUACAUGUGUUUCCUCUAGCAACUAUGGAAGGGUUCUCAGUGACCUUAUCUAAGACUAGAUGCUUGACAGGAACACUGGUUUUCUUUCUUUUCUCUUUUUCUUUCUUUUUUUUCUUUUUUUUUUUUUUUGGAGACAGAGUUUCGCUCUUGUUGCCCAGGCUGGAGUGCAAUGGUGCGAUCUUGGCUCACUGCAACCUCCACCUCCCAGGUUAAAGUGAUUCUCCUGCCUCAGCCUCCCAAGUAGCUGGGAUUACAGGCAUAUGCCACCACGCCUGGCUAACUUUUUGUAUUUUUAGUAGAGACGGGGUUUCUCCAUGUUGGUCAGGCUGGUCUUGAACUCCUGACCUCAGGUGAUCUGCCCACCUCGGCCUCCCAAAGAGCUGGGAUUACAGGCAUGAGCCACCGUGCACAGCCGGAACACUGGUUUUCAUCUCCUCUGCCUACCGUAGGACAUUACUCCUAAGGGGCGCCUCUCUCCUGUAGCACCAGAUUUUUGCUCUUAACUAGUUUAUUCUCAGCAGAAGACAAAUAAGCUGUAACAUAUCCCAUCUUAAAAAAUCUGAUUUGCCGAUUUCUCUCAAUAUCACCACCUACCUCAGAGCUAAGUUUGGCUCCACCCUCACACUUUACUAUGCUCAGUCAGUCAAUUUUGCCUCUUUAGUCUCUGUUUUUUCUGCUGACACUUAGUUGAAUCACUUAUUACCAUCUCACUCAACAAUUUGAACAGACUCAUUACUUUUCCAUUGUCGGUUCUGUGCCCCAGGCUAGAGCAUUGGGUUAAAUCAAUACACAAUAUAUGUAGAUUUCAGGAAUUGAGUAUUUUUUUAGACUAAGUAUCCUAAAGCUAAACCUCUAUUAUUCUAUAUCUAAAAAGAAACUUCAUAGGGAUAUAUUCUACUUAUUGAAGAAAAUCAAGAUUUCUUAAUUAAUAAAAGUACACAUCAUGUUGCACUGAGUUUCAUAUAUCGUGAUGGUCUUGCUGAAUUUUUGACCAUUUUCUCAAAGUGUCUUGUAAGCUUUCUCCAUUCUCUUUCUAUUUAACUGUAGAAAUUCUAUUAUCCUGCUUUUUAAAAAAAUUGAAAUAAAGAAAUUAUAAAUUAAACAUCUAUAUUCUUACCAUCCAGAGUAGAAAAUGGUUAAUAAUUUGUCAUUUACCACACAGACAUUUCACUGGAAGAAAAAAAAUCAUUUCAGAAAGAAUAAAAGGCUCUUAACUACCAUCCAUCAUAUCAUCCCCCACCAUAGAUCACACCAUCAUCUAUAUUUGUGUAUGUUAUUCAGUCUAUUUUUUUUUGUUUUUCAUCUGUAAAAAAUAUGGUUGAGUGCUAUCCCAACAUUUAUUUUUUUCUGGAGCAGAGUAAAGAGUUAGGUGCCAGGCAUGGUGGUGUGUGCCCAUAAUCCUAACUACUUGGGAGGCUGAAGGAGGAGAAUUGCUUGAGCCCAGGAGUUCAAAGACAGCCUGGGCAACAUUGCAAGACCCUGUCUCAAGAAAAAAAAAGAGCUGGGGAGUAGUAGGGUAUAUUCUUCUCAUAAAUUUAGCUGUCAUAAGGACAAAGAAUUCUCAUAUCCUUUAAGGCCCAGAUCUAGUACUACUUUCCCAUGCUCCAUCUUAAUAUGCAGAAUUUCUGUUCCGAUGUCUUUGGAAAUCUUUUUUUAAUUCACAUUCAUACAUACAUAUAUAUGUAUGAACACAAAUUUAAAAAUGCACAUAAUAUAGACAUACAUAUAUACACAUACACACGUAAUUUAUACUUCAGAUUAAUAUGUAUAUAUGGUUCAUUUAUACUAUAUAUAUGAAUGAAAUAUAUAUACACAGACACACACAUAUAAAUUAUUUAAUUGUAAAUAUGCUCCUUAAGGGUUAGCAUUACUUAUAUUACUUUCAGCAGUAUCUUUACGCAUCUGCACCACCAAAUUGCCUGUCAGAGUAUACAGCCACCCCAACACACCCACCCACAGUCCUCCUCUCCGCGUCCAUAUAGAUAUAUUUUUCUCUAUGACCACUUUUACUUAAAUAUAUAUAAGAAUAAAGGAAUGAACAAUGGAAUGGUUGACUAAGAUACAUGUAAUGAUUCAAAUUCAGUAGGUGCUCAUUAUCUAAGUGAUGUGCUAUACCUCUAAUUCAUUUCUUUAUUACACAUGGCACUAGUAAAAAGUAAUAAAGGGCUCUUAGCUACUUGAAGUGUUCCCAUAACCUAUAGGAGUAUCAUUUGUCUUGGUGGCAACUAGGAAAGGAGCAAAGAACAAUUUGUCUUUUUUUGACUCAUAUUUCCACUUAAAUGUAGAGAGAUAAAAAGCAAGAGACAGCUUGUGCUAAUUAGAAGGAGAAAAUUUAAGAGAAUAUUGCUCUUGGCAGUGUUCAAAAUACCAAGGUCACACAUGUACCUUCUGUAACUUUGCUUCUCAAUGGGAUAGAGUAUUGGGUAACAGGAUUUCAUGGAGGCAACUUUUUAGGUUCUACAAGGGCCUAGCAGCAUACAGUCAAGAGGUUGUUUGUCAAUUUCUUAAAUGGUCACUGACAACAAGAUCCUGUUUAUUCAUUAAACACAGUUCUUAAGAACAUUAAUUUAAGCCUGAAAGAUUAAUGCAUCUGGGUCUACUGCUCCCUUGGGGUACAAUUCAGUUGCUCUGUUACUUAAAAAUGGUUUAGACAAUAAUUUCUGAGGAGGCUCAAAGACUGUGUCUCCUUCCACUCCCACUCCCUAUACAUCAUAUAAUUCAGCAAUGUCAUGACUUUUUGACUGACUUGUGUCUCAUUGGCAUGGAAUAGCCAGUUACCAGUUAUCUAGUUUCUUUCUUCCACACAGCCAGGAAAAGUCAACCUGUUCAGUAUCUCUUGGUCAUUUAUUGGCAGAUUUAAAAAGAACAUAAAUGUUUAAUAAAGAUUCAAUAAUUCUUAUUUUGCUCAUCUGAAAACCCUGUUAUGCCCAUUUAAUUGCUCAGCAAUGCUAUCCAUUUUCUAUGAAAGAAAUCACCUAUUUUCUGAAGUGUACUACAAGAUUAGUAAUGCAAUACUACCAAACUUAUCUUAACUAUCCACCUGUCAAGAUAAAUGAAUAAAAUGUAUUUGAAAUGUAGUUCCCAUGACUUUUUUUUUUUGAGAUGGAGUUUUGCUCUUGUGGCUCAGGCUGGUAUGUAAUGGCGUGAUCUCGGCUCACUGCAACCUCUGCCUCUAGGUUCAAGUGAUUCUCCUGCCUCAGAUUGCCAAGUAGCUGGAAUUGCAGGUGCCUGCCACCAUGCCUAGCUAAUGUUUGUAUUUUUAGUAGAGAUGGAGUUUCACUAUGUUGGUCAUGCUGGUCUCAAACUCCUGACCUGAGGUGAUCCACCCGCCUUGGCCCUGACUUUUACUGAACAUAUUCAUUGAAUUUCUAAUUUAUACAUUUUGAUAAUCCACAAUGGAUCUUUUAGGGUCUCAUUUCUAAUGUCAAGGCUCUUAUGGAGAUCAUUAAAACCUAAGUAGAAUUAAACACAAGCUUGCCUUCUACUCUAAACUGUUAAUAAAAUCCUUUAGUCUUCUGUGUUAAAAGGAGGCUUUCAUUCAAUUACUUCCUGUUUUUGCUAUUUGGUAUUGCAAAAUAAUUGCAAUAUGCUUAGGUGUGAAUAUACUUCAUCAGAAAAAGUUCUUUUAUCAUUAAUAUAGUUAGGAAGGCAUCUCAACAAAAUGAAGCAGGCAUGUAAUAACCUCCCCCCCCCAAGAAAAGGGAAAAACUCCAUAAUAGAAAUAUAUUUUGUCUUAAGAGUUAUAUUUUGUUUCACUAGAGUGUGAGCUCCAUGAGCGUAGUAGUCAUUUCUGGCUUGUUCAUGACUGUAUACCAUUGAUUAGCACAGCAUUUGACAUAGUAAGUGCUCAAUAAACAUUAUCAAAUAAAUGAUGUUACCAACCUUGUUUUAUUCAGACUAAAUUGACCAAAUUCUAAAAUAGAAGUCAUAAACAUCUGCCCUUUAGUGAUUAUUUAACAAAUAACUAUCUUCCUAUUCUUUUAUAUAUUAACCUAGAGCAUUGAUCAUAAUUACGUGAAGCAUCACUUAAAGCUAUAUUCAAGUUUUUUUCAUCAUUCAUUCAUAUAAAUCCCACAGUUUCAAUAUAAAUCAGAAAUAAAAGGCUGGGCAUGGUGGCUCACGCCUGUAAUUCCAGCCCCACAAGGGCUGAAGCAGGAGGAUCGCUUGAGCAUAGGAGUUCAAGACCAGCUGGGGCAACAUUGUGAGACCUCAUCUGUCCAAAAAAAAAAAAAAAAGUUAGCUAGGCAUGGUGGUCCCAUACUCAGGAGGCUGAUGUGGGAGGAUCACUUGAGCCUGAGAAGAUCGCUUGGGCUCAGGAGGUCAAAGCAGCUGUUAGCUAUGAUUGUGCCACUGUACUGCAGCCUGGGUAACAGAGUGAGACCCUGUCUCAAUAAUAAUAAUAAUAAUAAUAGUAAUAGUAAUAAUAAAAUCAUCCUGCUGGUGGAUAUCAUUCCUUUCUCUCUCCAAUUGAAAAACUAAGGUAAAACUUACUUCAGUGGACCAACCAGAAAAUGAGGUUAGCUUAUAAGUGAGAUUGUUUUUCUUCGCCUCUAUAUUGUACUUGGGUUCUUCUGUAUGAGAUACAUUGGAAUUUUCCCAAUUUUUAAGGUUUUUACUCAGGUCCUCAAAUUUCUGUGUCUGGUAUGUUGUCUAACAGACUGUGACUUUACUUUUCUGUAGAGAAGCAACUAUUGAGAAUGCCACAGACUUGAGCUUUCCAUGCUAUAUUUAGAAGAUAAUUUGCUGCACAUUCUUGGAUCGAUUUUGCCAUCUCAGUUACUUUGUGGGAGAUAAUUGACAUUCUUUGUGCUAUGACAACUGUAUGUGAUGGAUUAGUUCUAGUGUUUGACACUGGUUAGCUUCAUAUCAGUCACAGAAUUUCAUGAGCAACCCGAUUCAAAUCCUAUGCAAGACACAAGAGAUUUCUAAGAAUAUAGCCAAACUGAACUUUAGUAAAAGAACAAACAUCUUCUCUCUUUGAAGAAAUCUUCAAUUUUCCAAAGUCACAAAAAAGAUGAACACUCAGUGGACUAUAAUUAAAACAGUUUCUAAUGGUCAGUAUAUAUUGCAAUUGAAAAAUUUCAGUGUGACUAUAGCUAGAUAUUGUGAUACUUUUAUAUCAAAGCAUUAAAACCUUAAAAAUAAUACAGUUAAACUCACUUUUUACAAAUUAAUCAAGGGUGUAAUUUAGUCCAUGAGAAAUUAGAAAUUAUUUCAAUAGGCUACCUUAAAAAUCCUGUAUAUUUAGCUUAUGUUUAAAGUAGUGCAUAAUGGGGAUAAGUGAGGAUACAUUCAGGAGACAAUUUCCUGAUGGGAUUAUGAAGAUUAUAGAAAUACUGAUAGAAAUGUUAGUAUCCAUCAAAAUAUUGAAUGGCAGAAGGCAUAUCCAUAAGAGUUAAUACCUUUUGAGAUCAUAAAAACAUUUAUAAGUUAUAUUUUCUUUGUGAUCAUAUAUGUAGUUGAUUAUCUCCUCACAUCUUGUGUUCCCAAAUCUUUCCUUUCCUUAAACAUUGUAAGACUAAAUAUAAUUUAAAGAACCAGUAUCUAUAACCUUCAAAGUAUGUUAUUAUUCUCUUUCACUUAAAUGGUUUAAUAUCUUGCAAUUCUUCUAUACUUGCCUGAUAUUGUUGUAUUAGCCUCACAUUGCUUUUUAUUGCUUUUUAAUUAUUUACUUGACACAUCAUAAUUGUACAUAUUUAUAGGGUACAGUAAGAUUAUAUAUAUGUAUAUUAUAUAUAUACACACACACUGUGUUAAUGAUCAAAUCAGAAUAUUUAGCAUUUGUGUUCAAAUGAUAUAGAAAAGUUUACUAAUACACAGAUUAUCUAAAAUUCCAUCCAUGCAACUUAACUCAUUGGCCAAAUUGUUCAUAUUUGUGCUUCUGUUUCACUUCCAAGUUGGCCAGAUAAUUUAUCUUCACAAACUUUUAGAACCAUCUCUUCAUACAUUUUUUCUGCAAAAUAAUUUAUAUUAAGACUUCAUGGGUGUUGAUUAAUCUGAGUAUAUCUCUGGCCACCAAAAAUGUCCAAAAACAUUUCUCUUUUAUUGAAACUCGUCUGUUUUACUGAACCAGAUUACUUUAACAGAUUUUUCUUACUUUCAAAUUUUUGUAAUGGCAUUUUCAAUUUAACCCUCUUGGUCCUUUUUAAGGUUUAAAUAGGUCUUCUUUUUCCCUCCCUUCCCUCUCUCCCUCCCUUCCUCUCUCCCUCCCUCCCUCCCUUUCUUCCUUCUUUCCCCUCUUUCCUUCCUUUCUUUCCUUUGAACUUCUUUAUUCAGUUCACCUGGUGUAUGAACAUGGUUUUCUCAAAACUAAAUUAUCAUUUGCAACACUCUCAAUCAUCUGAAUAAAGGCUUUCUUCUAUGUUCCAGAAAACAAGCACUAGAACAUAAUGUACCUGAAAUUACAGGCUGAAUUAACACAUGUUGGCUAAGUGAUGCUAAACACAAAUAAGGCUAAUUUUCUGAAAAUCCAUUCCUUAGGAAAUGACUGAUUUGCUUAGUUUUUACAGUAAUCAUUAUGGUGAGUUCCUUGAUUCUCAGACAUGUCUAUUUUAGUCAUGUCAGUUUUUAUUAAUAAAGGAGAUAGCUGGGCACAGUGGCUCACGCCUGUAAUCCUAGCACUUUGGGAGGCCGAGGUCAGUGGAUCACAAGGUAAGGAGUUCAAGACCAGCUUGGCCAACAUGGUGAAACCUUGUCUCUACUAAAAAGAUAUUGGGGGAACCCACCCCCAAUAUUUCAACAUAGGUUCUUUCUAUUUUCUGUAAGUGUUAGCUGGCUGAGAAAUAGAGACAGUAUAAAGAGAGGAAUUUUACAGCUGGGCCGCCAGGGGUGACAUCACAUAUCGGUAGGACUGUGAUGCCCACCUGAGUCUCAGACUAGCAAGUUUUUAUUAAGGAUUUCAAAAGGGGAGGGGGUAUAAGAAAAGGCAGUAGGUACAAAGAUCACAUGCUUCAAAGGGCAAAAAGCAGAACCAAUAAUAAGGGUCUAACAAAGAUCCCAUGCUUCUGAGGGAACAGGACAAAGGGCAAAAGCAGAACCACUGAUAAGGGUCCAACAAAGAUCGCACGGCAAAGGGCAAAAGCAGAACCACUGACAAGGGUCUAUGUUCAGUGGUGCACGUAUUGUCUUGAUAAACAUCUUAACAGAAAACAGGGUUUGAGAGCAGAGAACCAGUCUGACCACAAAUUUACCAGGGCGGAGCUUUUCCCCACCCUAUUAUUAGGCUUAUGCCUGAGAGUACUGCAGGAGACCAGGGCAUAUUUUAGUCCUUAUCUCAACUGCAUAAGACAGACACUCCCAGAGCGGCCAUUUAUAGACCACCCCCCAGGAAUGCAUUCCUUCCACAGGGUGUUAAUACUCCUUGCUAGGCAAAGAAUUUAGCAAUAUCUUUCCUACUUGCACAUCCACUUAUAGGCUCUCUGCAAGAAGAAAAAUUGGCUGUUUUUGCCCGACCCCACAGGCAGUCACACCUUAUGGUUGUCUUCCAUUUUCCACAAAAAUCGUUAUUCUGUUCUUUUUCAAGGUGCACUGAUUUCAUAUUGUUCAAAUACACGUUUUACAAUCAAUUUGUACAGUUAACACAAUUACCACAGUGGUCCUGAGGUGAUGUACAUCCUCAGUUUACCAAGAUAACAGGAUUAAGAGAUUAAAUUAAAGACAGGCAUAAGAAAUUAUAAAAGCUUUAUUUGGGAACUGAUAAAUGUCCAUAUUAAGAUGAACUCUUCACAUUUACGUUCCUCUGCCAUGGCUCCAGCUGGUCCCUCUGUUCAGGGUCCCUGACUUCCCGUAACAAAAAUACAAAAAAGUUAGCCGGGCACAGUGGUGGGCGCCUGUAAUCCUAGCUACUGGAGAGGCUGAGGAAGAGAAUUGCUUGAACCUGGGAGGCAGAGGUUACAGUGAGCUGAGAUUGCACCACUGCACUCUAGCCUGGGUGACAGAGUGAGACUCCAUCUCAAAUAAAAUAAAAUAAAAUAAAUAAAAUUUAAAAAAAGGAGCUACAUAAAUAUGGGUUUUAUAAAGGUUAUUUUUUACCAUAGAUAGCAAUUCACUAAAAAUUUACUGAACAUUAAAGUAGAUGCUGUGGAUGGGUUAAAGAGAAUUACGUUCAAAGAAGUGACUGGGUAAAAAAUGCUCAAGAAUGUAGAUGGAUAACUGAAUUGAAAGGCCAUUGUUGAGGGUAGGUGCUUUUUAUUCAAUCUCAUGAGGUAGAGAGAUUUAAGUGAACUGAAGGACCUAGAGAAGGAGAGAACAGUAUAGAGGAUAGAUAGUUACACACACAUACACACACUCCUCUUACACCUGUUUAUGUUAGGAAAGCAUAGAAGAGAAAGAGAGAACUGCCAGUUGCUAGGGAAAAUAGCUUCACCCUCAGUCUGGACAUUAACCAGUGAGAAUAGCUAGGCUUUCCUUAAGAAUCAGAGAUUUAUACAAACAGAAUUAGUUGAGGUGAUCCAGCUGUGAGUACUAGGAUGGAAAUUUAGACUUCUGUUUUCUAACUUGCCUGUGUCCAGGUUCCUCAUCUGUAAAAUUAGGUAAAUGUCUCUAUCAUAAAUAUAAGGUGAAUAUUUACUCUAGAACUUACUCUAGAGAUGAGAUAAUUCAGACGUUAGACUUCUUUACUCUCUCUGCUUUGCCCACCCUAACAUUCCUUACCUGGAAAAUAAGGUGGAUAUCUGUAUGUUAAAUAAAAACUGAAUAUGAGGUGAAAUCAGCACAUUCGAAGAAGAAGAUAAAAUGCUGGGUUUCCAAGUCUUCUGUGAAAGAGCUAUAUAUAUUAUAUGAUAUAUAUAAUUCCUGGGGUGAUGACAUCAGGGAAAUACAUCAGCAGCUAUGGUGAGUCUGAGAGCAUUCAUGUUGGACAUGAUUAUGAUGGUUCAUGCGAGAAAUAGAGUUAGCAGAUAAGAGAAACAUUUAGUCACUAUUUUAUUUAAUAGUGUGUAGAUCUUGGGGAUUUGUAAAAUAACCUGUUUCAAUUUGGGGCCAUCUGAAAUUAUUUCUUGUUAUUCAGGGUUUCAAGAUUGUUUUUCAAAUGUAGAUUAAAAAUAUAUAGGAGUCAGUUCGAUUACAGAUCCAAAUUUUUUUUUCACCAGCAUAUUUUUGUUUGAGAACAACUAGUACAAGAAAUCAUUUUAAGCUGGAAUGGGAUGAGCAAAUUUAGUAUAUUUUCUUAGGGCUUUUGAGCUGUUAUGUUACUAUAAUAAAAUAAUUUAAUUUUCUUCAAGUUUACAAAUUCUUUCAUAUGGCACCAGCAAGCAUAGCCACAUUCCCGUUACUGUAGCUUAAAUCCUAAAAUGAAUAGAAAAAAAAACUGAGAAAUUUAAAAUCCCAGAAAUCCAUACUCAAUUCUAGAUAUCUAAUACAUGCUAGUAUUUUUAUCUUGUUCUCUCUGCUUUCCAUCCUUAAAAUGAAUUUCUAAUAUUUUGUAUGUGUGUAUAAAAAUGAGACACAAAGGGAAUUUUUGCUGGCUACUCCUUUGUUGAGUGUUUGUAUUGGAGAUGGAUCUUCUCAGCCCAGCAAUCCUGCCUGUGAUCUAAAGGACUCACAGUGACCUGAUGACUUUUAUUUGGAUUUGCUCUUUCUGUUUUAUGCAGACAUCAUUCAGACAGUCAUCAUUACUUUAAUGUAAAUAAGCAUCCUCUAAAACCUCAAGCUCUGAUAGCUUUGUUUGAUCAGAAGUCCCUCAGUAACAACUUCCUCUGGGUUAUGGAAGUUGACUCAGCAUGAAAGCAUGUUUCCGCUUUUCAGCCCUUUUGACCUAUCUGUGUUCUAAAUGAAACAUUCAAUUACUCUUACCCUUCCUGUUUUCUAACCUUUGCCCAUUGUGAGCCCUUCAAUAUGAAUAAAAUAUCUAGCAUACCAAAGAGGAAAUAAUGAGUCUAAAAGGUAUCCGUCAAGUAUGAUGUAGUUGCCUGGCCAGCUAUAGGCAGAGAAAAAGCACAACUCCCUGCUGUGCAUUCUUCUUUGAGAAAAGAGUUACUGACACCUUUUAGUCUUCUCUCCAUGGGAGCUUAUUUCUUUUUUCUCCAUCCACAGCAUUUCUAAGAUCCACAUCAUCAGAGAAAGAAAAGUAGAAGAAAAAAAAUCAAGUGUGAAAUGCAAUUAUAAACUGCAUCUUGAAAUCUAUACCACCAAGAGGCUAACAAGGCAGAGGGUCCAUGGCCUCUUUUCAAAGUUCAAUUUCAAAGGGUAACUCUAUAUGCCUGAAAUUGAUGGUGCAACCAGGAGGGUCCCACCCAUCAAUUGCAGGUUUCAAAACUGCAACUCUUUCUUUGAUAUCAAUAAUAGAUGACUGGGAGGCAGCUUAUAAAAUAUAAUUGGCAGCUUGGACUGAGUCUGAACACAGUAGCUUGCAAACUUAUGUAAUCCUGGAAUUUGAGAGUUUACGUACCUUGGUGGGGAGCAAGAGGACAUGGGCCAUGAUUAAAUGCCCUGAACAAAACAAGUGAGAUUCAUAUCUUUUUCCAGUCCUCAUCCUUUCUCAUCCCAGUGAAUGGAAACCUGAUAGUAACCUGGAAAUCAACUGUAACUUCUUCCUCUACUAUGUUCUCUUACAUUUAAAAUCCAAAUCCUACCAUAAUUAACUCAUGCAUUCACAUCUUUCCAUCACACUCUCCAAUUCAUGCCACCAUCCUGCCUAGAUUCCUAAAAUGAUCUUUUUUUUUGUCAAGUUUUAGACUCUCCUAACGUAUACUCUACAUUGCAGCCAGCAUGAUCUUACUGAAAGACUGGUAUCUUUAUAAUUCUCAAUGUUACUAUUGCCUUCCAAAACUCAAACUCCUUAACACUGGUUUGCAAUGCCCUGUAGUAUCUGUUCCCCACUUACCUCUCUUCCUUAUCUCUCAGUCAAUCCCCUUUUCUCUGUACUGAAGUAAAUCCCUCUAGGUUCUCCUAUCUUUACCUCUACUUUUUGGCCUAUGUUCCCAUUUUCCUGUAACAUGCUCUUACUCUUCUGGCUUCCUCACACUUAUCUUUUAGGUCUCAGUCUUCUCUCAUUCUUGUACUUGAUUAGGCUCCUCUGUUGCUCCCCUUAAUUUCCCUCUCAUAAGCCUCUUUUUAGAUUGUUGCAUCACUGUUGAUAUAUCUUCAUCCUGAGAAUGGAAGCUCUCUGACAGCUCUGUGAGGGCAGGGAAGGUACAUCAGCUUUUGUGGAUAUUCGUAUGCCCAUGACUCCAUGAUGUUUGUUGAAUGAAAGGACAAAUUAACUUUACUAUGCCCCUGAGAUCCAGUGUCAUGAAUUGUGUAUUAGUCUGUUCUCAUGCUGCUAAUAAAGACAUAACUAAGACUGGGUAAGUUAUAAAAAAAAAAAGAGGUUUAAUUCCUUUACAGUUCCACAUGGCUGGUGAGGCUUCACAAUCAUGGCAGAAAGCAAAGGGGAAGAAAGACACAGCUUACAUGGCAGCAGGCAACAGACAGAGAGCAUGUGCAGGGAAACUCCCUUUUAUAAAACCAUCAGGUCUCAUGACACUUAAUCACUAUCAGGAGAACAGCAUGGAAAAGACCCAUCCUCAUGAUCCAUUCCAUUCUACCAGGUUCCUUCCAGGACACGUGGGAAUUAUGAGAGUGACAAUUUGAGAUUUGGGUGGAGACACAGCCAAGCCCUAUCAAAUGGCUAACUGAGAAGUGGGUUUUCCUUUCCUAGUCUAUCUGGAAAUUGAGGGAGUGGUUGACAAGACAAAGUGCCAUGAAUGAAUGGCUUUGUGUGUCGCUCACAGAGAAGGAAUGGAGAAGACUGCUUUUUUGCCUUAAAGACUGGGCUACUUUGGGAGACAUUGCAUCCUUCCUGGCCUUGCUCUCAAAGCUUCAAAUGGGGGAGGGUAGUGAGCAUGGGGAAAUAAACUACAUUAAAACCUGUUAUAAGGGAUGAGAACUCUGUAGAAUUAGAAUAUAUAAGCAAUACAAAAUGCUGAAAGCUUUCAGAGAGUGUAAAAUGCAGGGUUAGGCCAGGCACGGUGGCUCAUGCCUUUAAUCCCAGCACUUUGGGAGGCCGAGGCAGGCGGAUCACCUGAGGUCAGGAGUUCAAGAUCAGCCCGGCCAACAUGGCAAAACACCAUUUCUGCUAAAAAUACAAAAAUUAGCUGGGCAUUUUGGUGCAAGCCUGUAGUCCCAAGCUACUCUGAAAGUUGAGGCAGGAGAAUGGCUUGGACCCAGGAGUUGGAGGUUAGAGUGAGCCAAGAUCAUGCCACUGUACUCCAGUCUGGGUGACCGAGUGAGACUCUGUGUCCAAAAAAAAAAAAAAAAAGGGGGGGUUAUAUGAAAUUUUCUUUUACAUUUUUCCUUCUAUACUCAGUAUUUUAAAUUUCCUAAUUCUACCCUUCCUCCCUCCUUCUCUUCCUGCCUGCCUUCCCGCCUGCUUUCCUCCCUCUUUCUUCCCUCCCUCCUUCCCUCCCUUCUUUCCUUCCUUUCUUCCUGCCUUCCUUUUUCCCAUGAGUACACAGUUAUUGUGAGCCUAUAUGACAUUUCAUGUACAGUUGCAGGCACUGAAGAUACGAUGGUGAUUAAGUAAAAACAAAAUCACCGGACUCAGGAAGCUCAUAUUUUAGUGAAGAGACCAACUAAUAUAUAUUUUAAAAUGUGUAAUAAAAUGUCAGUUAGUGAUAAGUGCAAUGAAGGAAAAUAAAGUAGGAGAAAGUAUAAAGAGUGAUUAAAGUACGGGGAGAGUGGUGAGGAUAGGCUAUUUUAGGCCUGAAUGUCAGAGAAGACUUUCUAAGAAGGUGUCAAAAAUUUCACUAGAGAAGAUUAUAUAGGAAAGGAAGAGUUUGAGACUACUGCGAUAGGGUCAAAGAUAUGGAAAUAGGGGAAAGAGAUCAAAUUCACCUUUGCCAACACAAAAGGAAGGAGAAUUUUAAAGAACGGUGGUGAGCUAGUGGAAAAGCACUGGAGGACAUAGGGGUUAAUGGACGAAUGACUUGGCCAUUUGUUUUUGCUAAUUGUCUCUUAUCGAAGUUAGGCUCCUACACUCUCACAGAGACUGGGAUGACUCCUACGUUUUUGAGAAACAUAUUUCUGGCUUGUAAAACUGGAAAGAGGCUGGGAGAUUUAUAUCUUAAAAGGGGACAGAGAAGGAAUUUAUUAUUGUGAGUUUUCUAAAGUAAAUGCUGUAAGAAAAGGGAGGCCAGGGACCUAUAGCCAAGAAGUCUGAGCAAAGUUUAAUCAAGCUGAGGAGAAUGUUAAGGCCAUCUUUGACAUUUGGGCAGAGACUUAAGGAAGUGAGAGUGAGUUGCAAACAGGUUCUGAGUAUGAGCACUACAGGCUGAGGCAAGAGCCAAUGCAAACCACCACUAAACAACAAGCCUGACUCUGCAGGAGCAGUCAAAAAAUACUAGUUAGACUCAAGUGGAGUGAACAAGGAGGGGAAGGGAGGAAGGUGAGGCCAGAAAGCUGGACAGAGGCCAGACCAAGGAGGAUUUGCUGGGAAAGUUUGAAGUUUAUUCUGAGUGUGCUGGGAAGUUAUUGGAGGUUUUAAAGAGAGUUUCAUCUACAUGUAAAAGGUAGUCUCAGGCUGCUGUGUUGAGGAGUAGAAGCCAGGAGACUAUCACGGAGACUGUUGCAAUACCCAUACAUGAAUCUUAGAGUAGGGUGGUAAUAAUGGAGGUAGAGGGGCUUGGCACAUUAGCUAGAGUUCUCCAGAGAAACAGAACCAAGAGGAGGUUUAUUCAUUAAUUAAUUUAUUUAUUAUGGGAAUUGGCUUAUGCAAUGAUGGAGGAUCAGAAACCCCAUAUUCUGCCAUCUAUAACCUGGACAACCAGGAAAGCCACUGGUAUAAUUCAGUCUGAGUCCAAAGGCCUGAGAACCGGGGACUGCAGAUUAAGUCUCAGAGUCUGAAGGACUAGGAGCUCUGAUGCCGAGGGAGGAAGAUGGAUGUCCAGCUCAAGAAGAGAGAGAAUUCAGCUUUUUGUUCUGUGUGGGCCUUCAGUCAAUUGGAUGAUGCACACAACGUGGAUGGUGAAGGUUGAUCUUUACGCAGUCUGCUGCUUCAACUGCUCAUCUCUUCUGGAAAUGUCCUCACAGAUACACCUGGAAACAGUGAUUUACCAGCAAUCUUGGCAUCUCUUAGCCCAGUCCAGCUGACACAUAAAAUUAACCAUCAUACUUGACACAUGUGAAAGUGUAUAUUCUUUGCUGAAAAAAUAGAUAUGAGAUAAAAAUAGAAGUGAAGGGAAGCUUAAAAUUUUUGACCUGAGUAACUAGGUAAAUAUUGAUGAUACUAUGAAAUAGAGAAGCCUGGAUGGAGGAGUAGGUUUAGAGGUUUAUGAGGGGUAUAAAAUAAAGAGGUCAGUGUUGGACAAGAUAAAUUUGAUAAGCCAAGUAGGUAUUAUAAAUUUGAUAAAUGUAUUGAUAAAUUUGAUAAGCCAAGCCAGGUAUGUCACCUGGGCAGUUGCAUAUAUUACACUGAAGCCCAAGAAGAGAGACUUUGGAGAUGAAAAGAGAAAUUUGGGAGUCAGAGUAUACAUGGUACUUAGGGUCUUCUGAGUCUUUUUCAGGGUAUGAAGAUGAGAAGAAAAAUACAGCAUUUUUUUUCAAAUUUAUUCAUAUUUAUUUACUGACUCAGCCUAAUAUAUAUGUAUAUAGAAUAUCUAUAUAUAAAAUUCAUUAGCAUGAAUAGUUAAUAUAAAUGUAUAUAUUUAAUUCAUUUGCAUGAAUAGUGACUUCGUUCAGUAACCUUUUUUUUCUGCUGCACUCCAGGUUGAAUUACAGAAUAAGCAAGUGCUUUAAGGGAACAGCAAAGCAAGAAUGCUGAAUUUGUUUUAAAAAAUGCAUUUGAUAUUUCAAAAAUUUAUAUGAGAUAAUAAUGGGAAAAUGCAGAAUUUUGUUUUGCCUUUUAACCUCAUUUUCCCAAUAUAGUAUUUUUAGAAUAUGCCUAUAUUUGGGGUGUAUGACACUAUACCAUUUCAGUCUUAAUAGCGCCUUGACCAGACCCAAAGCUUGGUACUGGUCACUGUAAGAAACAAAUAGCUCACCCUGUUCAUUUUUUUAAAAUGUAUUGUAGAAUCUCUACUUAGCCGUAAAUAAAGCAAAAGUGACUAUGCAUAAAUGAAUAAUGACACUCUGCAUUAACUGGUGGUAGUUUUUAGUUCUUUAUUAACUUUAAUCAGUGGUGGAUGAAACUCAAGGGAUUUUAGAAAUCAAACAAACUCAGAUGAGCAUCACAAAGAGAAUAUUUCCAGAUGGUAGUCUAUUGUUUGGUCCUCAGAUAUUUAUUUUAUUUUUAUGUUAUUUUUACACAUUUAGUGGGAAAUUGUCAAAUAUAAGGUCAGAUAGGGAUAUUAUGUGUCCACUCUGUACCUGGCCUGGUUUUAAAUGCUGGGAUUAUAGCCAUUUUAAAUGGAUAAAAGUAUUUGCUCUUUUUGAAACAAAUAGAUAAUAAAAAUAAAUAAGCAUAAUUUAUAUGCUAACUGGUAAUAAGCACUAUGGAUAAAAAUAAAACAGGAUUAGAGGGAAUAGAGUGCAUUGAGUUGGGGAUAUGUUUGCAAUUAUAAACAGGAUGAUCAGGGAAGGCCUCACUGAGGGGAUGUUAUAUUAGUCUUUUCUCACAUUGCUGUAUAGAAAUGCCUGAGACUGGGUAAUUUAUGAAGAAAAGAGGUUUAAUUGGCUCACAGUUUUUCAGGCUUUACAGGAAGCCUAGUGUUGUCUGCUUUUUGGGAGGUCUCAGGAGACUUCCAAUCAUGGUGUGAGGCAGACGGGGACCUCUUACAUGGCAGCAGCAACAGCAAGAGAGAGAGCAAGGAGGGAGGUGCUACACAUCUGUAAACAACCAGAUCGCUUAAGAACUCACUAUCAUGAGAAGAGCACCAAAGGGAUGGUGCUAAGCCAUUCAUGAGAAAUACCUCCAUGAUCCAAUCACCUCACACCAGGCCCCACCUCCAACAUUGGAGAUUGCAAUCCAACAUGAGAUUUGUGUGGGAACAUAGAUCCAAACCGUAUCAGUUAUUUGAGCCAAGAUAUGAAGGAAGUAAGAGAGCAAGGCCUGUAGACAUACCUAAAAAGGGCAUUGCAGGCAAAGGAAACAGGAGAAGACAUUUUUAGGCUUAAGCAUGGCUGGAAUGUUUGAGGAAUAGCAAGGCGACUACUGUCUAGGGAGCCAAGUGAGGGAGAGGAGGACAGUAGGAAAUGAUGUUAAGGAAAUAGCGGAGACAAGAUUAUUAGAGCCUUGAAACCACUGUGGCUAAUUGGCUUUGAAUUUGAUGAAAAACCACUGGAGGUUUUUAACCAGAGAAGUAACAUGAGCUGAUUCACAUGUUGAAAGGAUGACUCUGGCUGCCAUGUUAAGAACAGACAUUAGAUAUGGGCUGGGGGGAGGGGUAAGAGUAAAAUCAGGGAGAACUCCAGGAUGCUAUUGCAAUAAUACAAGUCUUCACCUGAUGAUUAGUGAUGACAGUGGAUGACAGUGGACCGUGCCCUUUGUUGUGGAGGUGAGGUAGGAUCAGAAAUAUCUUGAAAGUACCUGUGGUGAGACUUGCUAAAGAAACGUAGGUGGUAUGUGAGAGAAAGAAAGAAAGGAUAACCUCAGGGUUUUUGGCCUGUAGAAUUGGAAGAAUGAAGUUACCAUCUACUGAGACUAAAAACUUAGGAGAGAGAGGUUUGAGGAUAAAGAUUAGGUAUUUAUUUUAGGAUAUUUUAAGUUUGGUAUGCCUACCAAAGGUGCAGUUGUAGUUAUCAAGAAGGCAGUUAGGUACAUGAGUCUGGAGUUCAGCAGUGAGGUCUAGGGGUAUCUGGGAUUAAUCAGUACAUAUCUUAUAUUUAAAUGAACAAGUAUAAGUAGUUGAGUUGUCCAAGGACUGAAAUCAGGGGUGUUCCAUCCAUGUUUAGAGGUUAAAAAGAUGAGGAGGCACCAGCAAAGGAGACUGAAAGCAGUGAUACAGGUGGAAAUCCAGCAGACGGUGGUGUUCUGGAAACCAAGUGAAGAAAGCAUUUGGAGGAGUGGUGAACUGUGUCCAAAGACACUGGCUUGUCUAGUGAAGUGACUGAGAAUGGAAACUUGCAUUUAGCAACAUGGAGGCCACUGGUGACCUUGAGCAAGCAAUUUCAGAGGAAUAGUGGGGCAAAAGCCUGGGUUUAAGAGAGAACUGGAGGAGAGGACAUGUUGGCAUUAGUGAAUGUAGAAAACUUCUUUAAAAAUUUUUGUUAUAAAGGAGAGCAGAAAAAAGUGUUUUGACUGGGAGACCUUAUGGCAAUAGGGUUUUGUUUGUUACUUUUUUAGAUGAGAAAUAUGUAUGCUACAGACUGAUGAUAAAGAACAUAUUGGUGUUACAGGAGAGAAGGUAAUAGAGAGGAUUGCUUGAGUCAUAUACUUGACUAGUGGAGAGGCCUGGGGUUUAGUGUUCAAGAGAAGUUGCCUUUAGUUAGGAGAUGAGAGGGAGAGUCUGUCUCUGUCUCCUCUGCUCCUUUCUUUUCCUUUCCUGCAGUCUCCAUCUCUCCAUCUCUAGUCUCUUUCCCUCCUUCUCUACCUGCCCAUCCUCCAAAUUUUGUCAAAAGUGGUUUAAGGGGUCCUACUAGGAUUUCAAAAAUUUAACCAUAUUAGAAUUAAAAUAUUAAAAAAGGAAAAAAAAAACCAGAGUUGAGAUAUAGGGUUUGUCAACUUAGAAUAAAUAUAGGCAACUCAUCUUACUAAGUACUUAAAUAUUUCAGCAAUCCUAAGAUAAACAGGCAUCUCUUCUUGUCUCAGCUGUGACACUGACUAGCUGGGUAAUUUUGGUUGAAUUACUUAACCCAUCAGGAGUUCUUUUUUUUUUUUUUUUUCCAGAACUAAAAUGAGAGUAAUAAACUUAGUAUCUAAGAUCUCUAAAAGUUUUAAAGACUAUUUAUUUGUAACAUAUUAAUGACUUCAUUUUGUCUCACAUGAACUAUCCACUAAUUCAAAAAUGACUAAUUUUUUGCAAAUUUGUCUCAGAUACAUAAUGUUUAACUUCACUUAUGUUUUAUGUUAACAUACUCUUUUUAAAAACAUUUAAGGUAAAUACUUCUGAUAUUCUAUCAUGGUGUGGUUUAAAUAUGAUUUUAAGAAUGUAUAGCUUUAUAUGGAACUUAAGAUCUUUUUCUUGUUGACUCAUUCAUUUUUCUAAAUAAAAUGGUGACAGCUACAAAACAAUAUGCAUAUAAACAAAAAAAUAACUACACAUGGAAUGAGCAUUUAAAUAAUCUCUUAAAUGUUUAUAUUCCAUUAUCUUUCUUAACUCUCUAGGAAAAGGAAAUUAACAUGCAUAAUAUUGGAAUCCAAGUUCCUAUGCAAACCAGAGUGAGUGUACAAAUUAUUCAUAAUAUGCUAAAAAUCUAAAAUAGAUGAAUUUUUAUCAUCCUUAUCCUUUAACUGUUCUUAAUGGUCCCUCUGGAGAUCUCUCUUUCCCCCCCAUUAUCAGCUGUGAAUUCUAUUAUGUCUCUUAAAAACUAUCCCACUUUCUAUGAAUUUUCUUACAAAGCCAAGACUUUGUUAAUCUACUACCAUCACUAGCAAAAAAUUCAGUUUUAUAUUUAGUGGUAACAAUUCAACAUUACCCCCAGAGAUUCUUGAACACACAAGGGGUAUGUGUGACAUUGAUGUGAUCUCUAAAGAAUUACUAGACAAUGAUCUCACUUAUAUGUGGAAUCUACAAAAGUUAAACUCAUAGUAGUGAUAGAGGCAAGAAGCAGACAAAGGCUUAGGCAGAUAGGGAAGGGUCCCUGGAGAAUCUCCGACCCGCCCCACAAGUGUUUACAUCAGAUAUUUUGUGCAGAUAAGGAAACCUGCACAGGGGGCUUUCCUGGGCAUGCCUGCAGUGGACUAGAGGCCCACAUGCACUGAGGGAAAGGGUAGAGUCACCAGGAAUUCACGCCUUAUGCAGACGAGGAUCCUGGCCUCUUCAGCUCAUGUGUGGUGGUCCUGGUAUUCAAUCUGUGAGGUGGAAACCUGCUUGCAAGGCCCCCACUCUUUGCUGAGAGCUUUCUUUUCACUUAAUAAAUUCCGCCCUCUUCCCCCUUCAGGGUGUCUGUGUGCCUAAUUCUUCCUGGUCAUGAGACAAGAACCUGGAUUAGCUGAGCUAAGGAGCAAAAAAUCCUGCAUUACUAGCAGAGAAUAGAAUCAUGGUUAUCAGGGGCUUGCAGUGUGAGGGAUGUGGAAAUUAGGUCAAAAGGUACAAAAUUUCAGUUAGAUGAAAGAUAGCAAUAUUUAUAGGAGGAUAUUCUUUUAAGCACAGAGUUCUUAAAAUCAGCUGACUUCCCUUUAGUUAUGUAUACCUAACAUUGAACAGUUGAUUUUUGAAAAUUUUCUGUGAACUCAAAAGAAAAAAAUAAAAACAAGUGAAAAAGUAAUCAACCAGCCAAACAAACAGAUUGGUUGGACAGACAGCAAGUCCCUGACUCUAAGUAAUCACAACACCCAUUUUUUGAGGCUUCUGAGUUUUCUGAAGCCUAAAAGCUGAAGCAAAUCAGUUUAUUUUUGUUCACCAAGCAUAUAAAUGCCAAAUAACUAGUGUGGUCAUUCCCAGACUGGAAUAGAUAUUGAGAUUGGUUCUUUUUUUUAAGCUUUUUAGUUGACAUGUAAUAAUUAUUGAUAGUAACGGGAUAGAGAGUGAUAUUUUGGUAAUAUGUAUAAUGUGUAAUGAUCCAAUCAGGUAAUUAGCAUAUCCAUCACCUUGAAUUAAGAUUGGUUUUCAGAGUGUGUUAUUUGUCAUUUAAUUAUGUUCAGUGAUCCCCCAUUGAAAACCAAAUCAAACCAAACCAAACCACAUAAAAAUAUACUCUCGAAAUUAUGUUUCAUUCAGCUGUCACUCUCUUUCUCUCUUCAAAGCCAGCCUCCCUCCUCACACACUCUACUGAAACUGCUUCUCUCACCACUAACCUAUGAAUGGCCAAAUUGUGUAACCUAGGCAUUGUGUAACUCUGUUGGUCCAAACAUAUCUAACCAAACUCUUCUCCUCUUGCCUCUCAUGGCUUUAUAUUCUUGUAGUUUUAUUCCUAUGUUUAUUUCUUCUCUAUUUUCAGGGUCCCCUAAUUCUGCCUUUCCUGAAAUAGUGAUACUCCUCAGAAUUCUUCCUGAAAUGUCAGAGAGUUAUCUUAGAAGUGCUCACUGCAGGUCAGACAAAGAAAUGAGAGCUAUUAAUACUAUAAUGGGCUGUCAUUUUAGUCUCUUUAAAGUUUUGGUGAUAAUAGGACAAAUAUAAAAGUAAUUCAGAAAAGAAUAAAGCAAUAAAUGGAUUAGAUGAAGCUAAGCCUGUGAGAUGAUCACAGAGUGGGGUGAUAGACCCUUGCAUAAUGUAAGAUUAAGUAAUAAUAUGCUUGACAGCCAGCCACAUGGAGUAUUGGAUUCUUGUCCCCUUAAAACUUGGAAUUCGUGGUCAAACAAUUAUUAAAAAUUGGCCAGAGUAUGUCCUUGGUAAAAUGAGAUAAUAAAUGUCUCCCUAAUAGGUAUUAUUAAACUCUGGAAACAUACAGAAUUAAGACUAGGAAUAUUUAAGAAAAUCAAAGCAGAAUAUUAUUUUUAUGUUAAAAACUGUAUAAUUUUUAGCAUUUUAUAGUACUGAUAAUGUUUAAGAGAAUUUGCCAUAUUUGAAUUAUAGUCCAGUCUUAAAUUAGCUAUUUAAGGCUGGGCAUGGUGGUGGCUCAUGCCUGUAAUCCCAGCGUUCUGAGAGGCCAAAGUAGGUGGAUCAUGUGAAGUCAGGAGUUCAAGACCAGCCUGACCAACAUGGUGAAAUCCCAUCUCUACUAAAAAUACAAAAAUUAGCCAGGCAUAGUGGCAGGUGCCUUUAAUCCUGGCUACUAGGGAAACUGAGGCAGAAGAAUUGCUUGAACCUGGGAGGUGGAGGUUGCAGUGAGCCGAGAUUGCACCACCACACUCCAGCCUGGGCGACAGAGCGAGACCCCAUCUCAAAAAUAAAAUGCUAUUUAAAAUGGAUAAAUAAUUAUUUUGCCUUGUGAUUUUAAGUAAAAUCCAUGACAGAAAUCAGCAUGGCCCAUUCAUUGCUCAUUCUCUAUCCAUUUUGCAAAAACUAGAAACCUAAAGUCUACAUUUUUCAAACUCCCUUGCAAGUACAGUUCUACAUGUAAAUUCGGUACACCUGAGUAAGACUUGGACUCAUGAUGAAAUAACCUGGGGUUAAGGGGCAUUCACUAUGCAUGUGCAGAUCAUAGCAGAAACAACAUGAUUUUGGAGCCAAUAGCUAUAGACAUGGCUUCCAGAUUCAGCAGGUGGUGGCUUUCUAAUUUGGCAUCUUCCUAAUGGUGGCUUCCUUCAAGAGUCAGCAGCAGGCAACAGCUUCCUUACUCUGCACCAAUCAUCUAUGGCAGAAGUAGCAGCUCCCAUUUUUCUGAGCAUGCUGCCCUCAGUGCCUGGAAGGUCUCACCUUCCUAUCUCUGCCUGAAUUAUAUUAACUUAGCUUUCCAGAUUCAGCCAAUGUAUCGGUUUGUCACGGAAGAUUUUGGGAACACCCUCACACCCCACUGCCCUGGGUAAGUUAGGUCACCCUCCCAUGUGUUCUCAUUUAUGCCUUGUGUAUUCCCAGUUUACUAAGUAGCACACUCCAUUAUAUUUAUUGGUUUAUUUGAUCUAUUUCUCUAUUAUAUAGUAAGAGCCUUUUGGAUAGAAACUAUGUCUUUGUUUUAACUAUGAAACCCCAGCCCUAAGUAUAUUUGGUACAUAGUAGGCACUCAAUACAUCAAUGAAUGAAUGAAUGUCUGAAUGCCAGUGUGAGGCUUCCAUGCAAAUGUGGCCUUCUCAUUGAAAUCAUUAUUUCUAAACAUAUAUGAGAAAUUAUUCCCAAAGAGAGAAACCUAAUUACUCUGUAAUUCAAAUGAAGUAGCAUCUAAUCCACUCUCACAUGUAACGUUCCUGAAUGGUCCAUGAAGCACCAUUGAAUUUCCUAAAUCUUUCUUUCCUGAUAAGAGCCCAUUAACUUAACUAAAAAGAGCGCUUAUUUCCAGGCUCUGUUUUGGGGUGAGAAAAACACUUUACUAACUAAAUAUUUGUAAAGGGAAGAGUCAAAUUAAAAUGAUGAGGCAGAUUGGUUUCUUUAGCAGUUUUUACCUUGUAAUUGCCCUAUCUUGUUUGUUCAGUUACGACCAAAGAGAGACAAAGUAUGGACUCCAGUGGUUGGAAGAAUUUCUUAAAACAUUAGAUUAAGAAUGUAGGCAUUUUAGGUUUGCAGGACACUGAUGAAAGAAUUUUGCAUUCAUAUUACUUCCACUUGUGAUUUAGGCAAUAGUUAAAGGUUUUUAGUAUCAACGGUAUUGUCACGGGAAGCAGAAAAUUGCAAUACAAAGAAAAAUUUGGUAGCUGUCUAGUAAUGACAAUACCUGAUACAUUAUAUAUGGCUGGCUGUUUUAAUUUGAAUUAAUUAAGCUUGUUUAUGUCUUCCAAAUAUCUACCUGCACAGAUAAAGAUAACUGGUAACCUUUUCUUUUUCUGAUGGAAUGGAAUGUUUUUAUGUGUCAAAUUAUAGAUCAUUAAUGAAAAGGCAGAGAAAAUGAUGAAGAUAUCAUACUGCUAUCCCAUCUACACAGUCAAGUUGAAACUUUUAAACAAACAUAAUUGCCAUAGUACAAUGAAUUGUUAUAUAUAUAUAGUACAAUGAAUUAUUAUAGUACAAUUAUAUAUAGUACAAUGAAUUAUUUUCAAACACAAACCUUCAUUUUCUAUGUUUCUUGACUGUCUUUUAUGGUAUUCAUAUUCCCCAUCAAGAAAUAUAGGACUAUAGCCUCUCAUUCAAGUUAUUGCUGAGAAUCCUGCGGCAGUGUUCACCUUCUGACUGGUGCAUCUCACUCCUAACAUUGUUCUGAACACCAUUCAUGUAUUCAAUAAAUAUGUAUUUUUUUUUUCUUUGAGACAGAGUCUCGCUUUGUCAUCCAGGCUGGAGUGCAAUGGCACAAUCUUGGCUCACUGCAACCUCUGCCUCCUGGAUUCAAGCGAUUACCCUGCCUCAGCCUCCCGAGUAAAUGGGACUACAAGUGCUUGCCACCAUGCCCGGCUAAUUUUUGUAUUUUUAGUAGAGGCGGGGUUUCACCAUGUUGGCCAGGCUGGUCUUGAACUCCUGACCUCAAAUCAUCCACCCACCUCAGCCUCCCAAAGUGCUGGGAUUACAGGCGUGAGCCACCAUACCAGGCCUAAAUAUAUAUUUUUGUGCUGCUUCUGUAUCCAGGACUGUUGCAAGCACUGGGGAACCAGUUGUGAAAAGCAGAGAUGUGGUGUGAGUACUGGCCUUUUUAGAGUAGCUUAGUUGGUAGCUGGAAAAGGGAUAUAUACAAGCAAGGUUAAAGAAAGAAAAGAGUAGUAAGUGCUGCGAAGGAAAUUAAUAGGGUACUGUGAGAGAGACUGACAGCAGACAUGGGCCUUUGAGAGCUCCCAAGUCAUUGUGUCCCUGCACAAUGCUGGACCUCUACUGGCUUUCUCUAAGUUCCCUGUGAUGUGGAACUCCUGUGAUGGGCUCCUGGCAGGCUUCCUGGGAAGGUGACUGCCUGCUCACCAUGUCCCAAUACCUUUGUGUGCUACAAAGUUCUCUUCUUUCUCAGAGGAUUUUACUUUAUUAAAUGAACCCUUAACACCCUAGCCAGAAGUAUUUGCAUUUGGAUGACUUUAAUUGUCUGGGCUUUCCUGAGAACACCUGUGAAUAUUUAUUCAACUAUUAGGAAACCAAAAGAGUCAUCAUAGUUGUGUCUGUCAUGUAGAGAAAAUAGCUCUGUACCAAAAUGGUGAGUGAUGUGUUACUCACUUUAUAUGAACAAAAGUAGAGAAUUAGACAAAUAAUUUGGAUUUGGGAUGAAUUACAAAACCUCAGUAGCAGCACUGAAUGGCCAUUUAGCUAGGAAACAGAAGCUUGGCAGUUUUCUGGGUUUAUCUCAGGAAACAGGUUCAAAUCCAGGCUGUGCUAUUCACCAUACCUCAUGCAUGACAUUAUGCAAAUUAUGUUUCUGAUAUUUUAGUUCACCCUAAUAGUACUGAAUAGAAGCAACUGCUCUCUAACUCCCAGAAGGCUGUAGGAUUUAAAUGGAAGUAUGCCAUAAAAUUAUUGAUAUUACUUUUUAAAAAUUUUAGAGCAAAAUAACAUUUAUGAGGUCAAUAUGUGCCAGAAUUACCCAAUGUUGGCAAAAUUAUCCUGUGUUACAGAUGCAGAAGCUAACAGAGAGGGGGUAAAUGGUUGACCCAAAGUCACAGUGGUAAUAAGUAUUACUGGGGUGAAAAAUGAAAUGUGAUACAUGGUCCUAUUCUCUUUCUCUUAAACCAGGUAGAAAAAUUGACGGUGUGAAUUAUAAUUUAUUUCAUUCCAAGGUUUGUGUUUAAACAUCUGUUGUCAGUGUCCACCUCUAAGUAGAGGAGACCUUCAGAAUGGCUUGAUUCCUGCUGUUACCCACCAAAAUAGGCCUAUUUUUACCUGCUGCACAUAUUCUUUACUCUUAAAUUUUCUUUUAAAUCAAGAGUUUUGAGAUUAAUAUGAAUAAGUAAAUGAAUGAAUGAAUGCCCUUCAUUUAGGCUACUGUGAAUUGGCAAAAUCAUUUGAGAGCUGGUCAAUAGUUUGCUCUCAUAAGGUAGGCUGCAUAGACUCCUAUGAUAAUUUUCUAAAACAUUUGAAAAAUAUCCAAAUAAAAGCUUAAGAAUGUUGGUUGGUUUACCCAGCAUUGUCUCCAAGGAAACUCUUUCUUUUUUUUUUCUUUAGCCUGAGAAUUACUGUGUAGGAGGGAUCCUGUGAAAAGGACCUGUUAAAUCAUGUUAAAUAUUCAUUUGCUUACUUUAGCAUCUGGAUAAAGACUUUUUCACACUUUGAAGGAUACAUAUCCUGGAGUAACUUUAAUUGACUUGGUGAACUAUCUUUCUCCCUAAAAGAAGGCUAGAUAAGCUGGGACCAUAUAUUUUAUUAUAUUAUGAAAACAUAAAAAAUACCAUAAAGGGAAAUCAAAGUAGUGAUGGAUCAGCAGAACUGCUGUGAUAGUUGUAAUAUUUUUUCAAACAUGUGAGCAGAAAAUAAUGAUUUUUCUAUACAUAUGUAUGCAGAAAUAUACAGGUGUUUACAAUCUGGUAUAAUUUGUAGUGAAUUUUAAAAUUUAAAAACAGAAGGAACCCAUGAAUGAUUAGCAUUUCAAAUCCAAGGUGGAUAAAAGCUAUAAUGAAACAGCAAAUUAUACUUUUUAAUAAAUGCAUUGUUCUCCAGAAAGAGAUUAUUGUAUUCACUGACAGCCAAUUCUGUAAUGAUGAAUUAUUAUUUAAAAGCCUUUCUUUAUGAUAUUUUUAGUAAGCAAUUAAGAAAUAACUGCUCAGCUAAUUUUUAUGUAUAUGUUUAUAAAUCUUGGCUUUAGUUAAAAUUUCCAUCAAGUUAGCUGAUAAAUAUUUUUGAUAGUAUAUGUAUCUCCCCUACCUUUUCUUUCUUUAAAAUUCCCAAACAGCAUAAUUUUUCCAACCAUAAAAAUACAGUAAAAAAAAAUUGGCAAAGUUGGAUUUUAUACCUGUUGCCUUUUUAAAUAAGAAGCACUAAUCAUCACUUAGAAUUUCACUGUUACUUGUCCUCAAAGCGUAGAACUUUUGCUGUGGUCCCUCAAAUUGUGAUUAACCUAAGGCCAAAUUUCUAUCUUAUUUUGUACCUCUUCCUAUUUUUAGGUCUUUCUAAGGUCUUUAAAAUGCAAGGAAAAUGCCCUAGUCCUGAAUCUGAGGAAGAUUCAGCAUAAAAGAAAUGUAGCACUUUUAUUUUCAAACUGGAAAAAGUUAAAAGUUUCUUUGGGGCCAGGUGUGAUGGCUCACUCCUAUAAUCCCAGCACUUUGAGAGGCCAAGGCAGGUGAACUGCCUGCACUCAGGAGUUUGAGACCAGCCUGGGCAACAUGGUGAAACCCUGUCUCUACCAAAAUACAAAAAAUUAGCCGGGCAUGGCGACGUGUGCUUGUAGUCCCAGCUACUUGGGAGGCUGAGGCAGGAGAAUUGCUUGAACCCAAGAGGCAGAGGUUGCAGUGAGCCGAGAUCACGCCACUGCACUCCAGCCUGGGCAACAAAAAAGAAAAGAAAAAAAAAGUUUAUUUGGCAUUAAGGUAUGUUUAAAAAUUUUUUACUCUCAUUUUAAUUUUUAUAAGCAUCUCACAGUUUUCUGGGGUAUAUUAUUGGUAAUCAUUAUGGUUUACCAGUUGAUUGUAAGUUUUAUGAUUAUCAAUCAUGUAAGCUUUUUAUUUUUGUAUAAAACAUCUAUUGACAAAUGGAUGAAAUCAGCAAUGAUCCAAUUAUUGAAAUUUAAGGUACAGAGGAAGAGUGCCCUCUAAAUAAAAGUGUUCUUCAAAGACCUGAAAGAUAAACUUUGUAUUUUUUAUUUUUUGCUUUGGAGAGCUUUCAAUCAAUAAGCAGCUCAAAGUGAAGUGCAGGUAACCAGGCAGUGAGUCCAGGGCUGUAUCUUUCCGUGAUGCAGCAGGAGGAGAGAACAGGAUCAGUAGAAAGAGAAGAAGGUUAGAUAGAAGCUAAACUGUUGUACCUUAAAAUUCUGCCUCCAGCUAGUGCUAAAAAUUUUAAAUAUAAUUCUGUUUUUGGCUGGGUCAUACCAUACUCUCUUUCACAUGAAGUUCUUUAAGCUUAAUUUUUUCAGAAUACUUCUCUUGAAUUUUUAUUAUUUACUUUUGCAUGAUUUCUAUCUUUAGUUACUAACAGAACAUCAGUAGUUAUACUUUUAAUAAUUUGUUUUUAGGCAUUGCUAUGGUUUAAGUAUCAUUUAUACUCACCAAAAUUUGUGUUGAGGAUUAAGUUUACAGAGUGUAAUGUGUUGAGAGGUUAUAAGACCUUUGAGAUGUGUUUGGGUACUGAGAGAUCUGACCUCAUGAAGAGAUUAAUGCAGUCACCUGGGAGUGCGUGGGUUCCCACAGGACUGGAUUAGUUUCCAUGAGAAUGGGUUCUUAUGAAGCAAGGCUGCUACUUGUGUUUGGUCUGUUUUUGCACAUGUUUGCUCACUCUUCCACUUUCCUGCCAUGCUGUGAAGUAACAUGAAGUCCUCACUAGGUGGGCUGCCCAAUGUUGGACUUCCCAGCCUUGAGAACCAUAAGCUAAAUAAACCUCUUUUCUUAAUAAAUUACCCAAUAUCAGGUAUUCUGCUAUCGUAACACAAAACAGACUAAGACGGUCGUGUAGCUUUAAACAAUAAUGGCUAAGUUAAGGCCAGGGCACUUGGAAAAGCUUACAAUUUUCUGUCCUCACUUGUCUCAUUUAUAUAUAUAUAUUUGAGACAUUAUAUAUAUAUAUAUAUAUAUAUACACACACACA